rnacentral:lncRNA from 1 species
UUUUUUUUUUUGUAUGAAAUAAACUAAAACUUAGUUGCUAGCUUUUACUUGGCAUACUGAAUGUAAAAGAGAGCAUACGUGUGGCCAACCAGAGCAACAUUUGCAUCCUCAUUGUGAGCCACAAUGGCCAUGGAAUCACUAGCAACAAGAACAUCAGAGCAGUCAUCUGGGGUAUCAAUUUCAUGAAUCAUCAUCAUCGUCUUCGGAAGAAAUGGAAGAAUCUCUUUUCUAAAGUUGAUCAGCAUAAUCUACACAUAACCAAUCAAUGUGAUUACAACAUCAAUGCAAUUAGUAGCUUAAUUAAAAACUAAACCUCUUAAUUGACCAUUACUUUAAGAACUGGCACACCACUUCCCUCUGCUAUUCCUACGAGCUCGUCCCAAUACCUUGGAAACUUGCUCCGAUGAUUUUCAGUAAGAGACUUAAUGAGUGGCUGUGACUCUGGGGUCUGAGCAAAUGGGAGGAGCUGGUCUUGAAGAAUGAGGUCUCUGGCCAACCUGCUCUUUAUCUUGCUUGAAAACCUCUGGCCUAUCAGGUAGCCCAUUGUGUAAGCAUCCUCACAAGGACCAACUUCAAAUAUCUCCAACGCUUCUCCUCCCAUGCUAGAGCUUCCCAGUAAUUACUGUAAAUCGAAAAAUUAGAGGACCUUAUCUUCUCUUCUUAAUACUAUAUAUGUCUCUAGGCUUUCCUGUUCUAUAAUUCAUGGUUUAAUUUGUCUUAUUUGUUUUUUGUCACUACAAUAUAGCUGUCUAGUCGAUUGUUUCCAGAGUCGUAUUUUCCAUUUCCAUGUCGUACUAAACUACUAACCAAUUUUAAUGAAACGACAUAGAUUCUCAAGUGAUCACAAAUUCAUAAUACAAGACAAGACUACAAGAGCUUUGUGCUCUCCAGCCCUCGACUUCUUGAAUUCGUAAGUGUUAUUAACAUCUUAAUUAACAACAUCCAGACCAUUAGUUGAUUCUAACAACCAAAUAAUUGGUUUUGUUAAGUAUCAUAAGUAAUUGAAAAGGCGGACCCUACAUUCCCUCCACAGGUGCGCUGUGUCGACUAAAGCAGCAUAUCCCCAUAAUGAUUUGCCACACUCCUAUACUUUACAUUUCAGUACAGCAGCAGCCUCUGGUUAUAAACUAGAAAGAGCACCCGCGCUUUGCUGCGGGUUCCCCCAUAAUUUGUGAAUAUACAGUGAUAAAGUAUUCUGGGUUCACGUCUAAAAUUAAUUGACAAUAGAUGGAGUGGUCCAAACCCUUAUAAGCCACAGGCAAGGUCUCAUUAUUUCCGAUGUGGGAUAUAUAUCUCAACACGCCCCCGCACGUGUGGCGAAUCUUCAAGCCUAACACGUGGACAACAUUUAGGGUGACGUGAAGUUCGUGUGGCCUUUGGGCUUCACACGUGGACGUGGGUAACCCGCUCUGAUACCAUGAUAGACUUUGAUUAUGAGUGUGCUUCCCUUUACACUCAUAAUCAAAGUCUAUUAUACAGUUCGCAUUCAUAAGUUAAGAAACAUUAAUUAGCUUAAAAUAUGAUCAUUUUAGCUGGAGUUUUCAUCUUAGUAAAUAUGAUUCAAUAAUCUUAAUAAAUAUGAUUAAUAAUGGGUGUUUUGGCAGACGCUGCUAUUUAACCAAGCUAGUGUAAACUUUCUUAAAGGAAUGAACACUCUAGCCAAAAUUCCUAAACGCACUUGCAAAUCAGUUGCUGGUAUUUAACCAAGCUGGUGUACACUUUGUUAUAAAAUGCACUUCCUCACCAAAAUUACCCAACUGUAGAAGUGGUUAGUUGUCACCAAAAUAUUCUACAUUUAUACUUCAAUCCACUCACUUUACUUUCACAUGAAUUCUUAAACAGCGUUGUCACUUGGUUUUGAUGCUGUUAGUGUUUUGUCCGUGUUGAUGAGAAACUCUUUUUUUUUCUUCUAUUUUUUUGAGAAGAAAUAACUUUAUUGAUAACGGAAUAAAAUUACAGCAUAAUAGAAUGACCGGUUGUGGUACCUACACCACAACACAUAUUUUCAAAAAGAUCCGUAGUUACGGGUCCGUCGCCAACAACAACAUUUAUGAGCCAAGUGGGCCCAACCCUUAACUCAAUUUCACGCUCAAAAAGAACUACACAGUCUUGAGAGUAACGAUACAACCUUGCCGCCAACACUAAAACGAGCAAAUUCCCCUUUUUCAACACCAUGUCCAAAUACCACAAGACCACGUGCAAAGACAAUCCACCCUCAUGUUGUCACACAGACCGCACCGAUAUUAAAGGCGAUAGUCCCCAUGAAUAACGCCACCAAAGUAGCACAUUGACCAGAACACGACACCUUAACCCUCGCCCAAAAGAGGAGGGACUUAGACCUAAACAAACACUAACCAAAAAACAUAAACCAACAAAGGACCAAACCUGGCCCAAAACCACACCACCGGCCCAAGCCCACCAAACCAAUACCAUUGGAGGCCUAAACCUGCUCCACUCGGCCCAAAACAGCAAUCGCGUUGUCACCUCCGUUUCACCCCAGCGCGCCGCAAGGUCUGAGCCGUCAUCAGAGCCCUUUUAUGCUUUCUGACCACCACGGAGUCCUACUGCAAAGCCAUAGAUCAGUCCUAAAGACAAAACCGACACCGAUCUGUAAAAACGCAAACUCGUCGUCGAUCUGGUUUAACCUAAGAGCGCCGCCAACAAUAACCUCGCAACAAGACCUCAGUUCAAGACUCGUGUUGAUGAGAAACUCAAUUGUUCAUGAUUGCAGAGAGCUGCCACUUAAAAAAGUUUAAAUAAGAAUUGUGAAUAUCACAAAAAAUAAAAAGACAUCUCUAUACCCCAACUAUAUACCAAUCACUUGUUCGCUAUAUCUAUACCUUAAAUUGUUUGAUUGUAUUUGCAGCAUGUAGUGAGCUCCAUUCCUCUCAUAUACAAUUGUUAAUUUCUAAUCACUCAUACAUUGAUAUGAAGAAUUUCUCAUAGUUAUCUAUCAUGUAUGCUCAAAAUAAACUAAAGAUACAAGAAGACCAGUCAGACGAAACUUUCUUGAUCCAUCUCAACUCUUACGAUGGGAAGCCUAAGUUUUGGUGUCAAAGUUUUACCAAAAAAUUGAACUUCCCAGUUUACCCUUGAUAUUGCAAAAUGGUAAAGAACAUGAAAAUAACGGACAAGGUUAAGAAUGUAAAUAUAAUUUAUCAAUUGCAUUUUCCAUUUUGCCCAAUUAAAUAUCUAUUUGUAAAACUGUUCUACUACAUAUCUAUUUGAUUUUUUUUUUUUAUUAGAAAAAACUGCACAUGUUAAGAGGCUAGUAGAUAAUAAAACCCUAAGAGAAUGGUCCUUCCCCAACCCCUAAACCCUUCCCUUCUCUUCUUACAAAGAAAUAAGGUUGCAUUUCAUAUCCAACAAGUUAAGGCUAAGCCUCACAAGGAAACCCAACUUAAUUAAGAUUUAUCUAAUCUGAUCUAAGAUACAACAAAGAUCUGCUCUUCAACUAGUGUGUAUCUAUUAUAUGUUAUGUACUUACAUGAAUACUUGCUUACACCAAUUUCCUUUACUUACACUUCUCACUUUCUCAGUCUUGUAGUUGACAAACUCUCAGUAUUUAAAACUAUCAUUUGAUUUCAUACUCACUAGUCCCAUCAUAUUAAUCACAAAAGACAGAAGCGUCGCUGUAUAUCCAUAUCUCAUUGCUCUCGAAAGAGAUUUUUUGUUCAAAUCUGAAGAUUGAGAUGCUGGGGGCGAGAAAUCUAAUUGUGAUUAAGAAAUGAAACCAGUUGAGUGAUGAUCAUCAACAUUAUCUUUUCCAAAUGGAUUGGAACAUCCAGGACCCAGAGAAUAAAUUAAGGCAAGAUAUGUAGUGUGCUUUAGUUUAACAUUACAUCUGGGAGUUUAAUAAGCACCAAAUUUAAACUCGAGUGUAUGUUCAUCAGUAGGAAAUCAACGCGUGGAAAAUUCCCCACAAUUGAUUCACCAAAUAUUUGCAGAGGUAUGAAGACAAAAAACAAUGGCACUCAUGUUUGUUAAAGAUGGUGCAGUGAUUAAUCAAAAGCACGAGAAAGAACCGUUGGAUGGAACAAAGUGGGGGAAAAAGAUAGAGAGGUAAAUACUGUAUCCAUUUCUGGAGAUAGUGUUUGUUUGCUUAGAGAGGCAAAGGAAACACAGGAGGAGAUCGAUUCUGAGGAGGGUAAACCCUGAAAAAUGUAAAGGUUAAAAACACAUGCAUCUGUCUUGUAAUGGGUAGAAAACAUCAUCUGUGGUUGGAACUUGCAAGUACAUUUUCUAUUCAAAGAGAUUCGUUUUCGGGAAGGUAAGUAUAACUGAGGCACUGAGCAGGUGAUGAGGCAUCUGUCACUUCUUUGGCUACGACUUGGUUGGAAGCACUAGCUAGAACUUGAAAAAACCAAUCUUACUGCAAACUAGAUUAACAAACCAUUUAUAAGAAGUAAGGAAACAAAAAUUAAAGGAAAUUAACACAUCAAUUAGCAAACUAUGGUCUGUGUUCAAUUUAUAGUAGCAAAAUUAUAGAAGCAUUUUUAUUUGCAUACUCAAUCAAACUACUGUUAGCUGUGCAUCCCCUGUGCAAGCUAUAUAUAGAGUUCUUUUUGCACUUGGUUUCAAACUAGCUGCAAUAAUUAUGGAAUUAAAAACCAAAACCAAAACCAAGAAAUGAAGUGCUCAUUAAUUUGCUAAACAAGUCCACUUCAUCAUUUCUUAUAUAUAUCAUAAGCAUGAAUACAUACAUUAUCAUAAGAGGAAGGGGAAAGAUAUCAUAUAUUGAACUUUACAAAUUUUAGCAUGAAAGUAGAAUAAGAACCACUAGGAUUGAAGUUACUAUGGGACUAUGCAUUAACCCUCCUUCUCCGGUUUACAUUUUUGAAAGUUCAAGAACUACAGACAAUAACCAAAACAAAAAUUACAAAAAUCAACAUUAAUUUCUUAGUUAAAUUAUAUAACAAACGAUUUUCUAGAUCAAUUUGGUUGACAAUUUUGGACAAUUUGGUAAUUGAACACAGCCUCUGGGAGACAUGUCUAGGAACUUGUUCCUGUUGGAAAGCAAGAACCAAGAAGCUAAUGUUGUAAAGUGAGUGAAGCGUGGCUGCUGCUGCUGCUGCUUCUUCUUCUUCGACUCUUCUUCGAUUCUUCGACUCUUCUUCGAUUCUUCUUCAUGUACACAGUACACAAACCCUAACUGAUUAACAAAAAAAAAAAAAAAAUUCAUCAGACACACACACACACACAUAUAUAUAGCUAUUUAGGAAAAGGAAAACCGUUUUUAGGUUAGCUAUUUCUGGGUCUGAUUUCAGCUCAACUCUACUUGAACCAGCAACCAAUAAUUACUCAUGCUCGAAAGCUAUAAGCUAGCAAAUAGAUGGAUACGUACUAAGAAACAUGGCUAACCUAACUUAACUAUAUAUUACUAAAAGUCAGAUCACGAUAAUUGAUAUAUAGCUUCCUUUCUAGGUUACACGACAAGAUAAACACAACAAAAAGUAAGCUAAUCUAGAUUUAGGCUAGUAAGCAUAAUCAUAUAUCUGGAUAAGUUCAGUUAUCUCAGCUUCAUUAUAAAUAUCAUUGUAAACGAUCGAAUAAGAGGGUACUAGAUAGGGGAGCUCCCUUCAGUCCAAGUACAGGAAGCUUAAGAUCCAAUUUGUCUCCCGCAUCAUUCACGCAUUUACUGGGUUUGUCUUGAUUGAUCUAAUAACCCAGUAUUUGGAUGAAUGAGUCGGCAGCUAAUUGAAAUCCUACUGCCACCCAUGAGUGGACUGAAGAAAGCUCCCUUCCCUUGAUACAACUAACACUCAUCACCAACAAACUUAAAGAAGAUGAAGAUCCAUGAAUUCAAGGAACUCGUUCAUAUAUGCUCCCACAGAUCUAUAUAAAUCAACUUUCAGGUGAACUUCGAAAGACUUCCCUCACGGUAACCCUAGCUGAGAGAGAGAGAGAGAGAGAGAGAGAGAGGAGGGAGGGGNNNNNNNNNNNNNNNNNNNNNNNNNNNNNNNNNNNNNNNNNNNNNNNNNNNNNNNNNNNNNNNNNNNNNNNNNNNNNNNNNNNNNNNNNNNNNNNNNNNNNNNNNNNNNNNNNNNNNNNNNNNNNNNNNNNNNNNNNNNNNNNNNNNNNNNNNNNNNNNNNNNNNNNNNNNNNNNNNNNNNNNNNNNNNNNNNNNNNNNNNNNNNNNNNNNNNNNNNNNNNNNNNNNNNNNNNNNNNNNNNNNNNNNNNNNNNNNNNNNNNNNNNNNNNNNNNNNNNNNNNNNNNNNNNNNNNNNNNNNNNNNNNNNNNNNNNNNNNNNNNNNNNNNNNNNNNNNNNNNNNNNNNNNNNNNNNNNNUUGUAUGCUUUGUACAACACAGUUGUACAGAUCCCAUAUAUAUUAUGGAAUGUCCAUCACUAGAUUCAAUUAUUCUUCUUUGCAUUACGUCCUAAGUUAAUCUAUUUAGGCUUCUUGUUUCAUUUGCAUCUUAAUUAUCAUGAGCUUCACAACUACAAAGAAAACAUACAAAUAAAUAAGGAUUAAUUUCAGUUUACACUAGAGUUAACAUCAUUUCACUCCUCAUGUUUUUAAUUUUAAAAAUUUAUCCUUUAAAAUUUUUAAUUUUCAUAAAUCAUGCCCAAUUGUUGAAAUUCCGUCUAAUUCAGACGUUAAUUUUGAUUUCAUAACUCACUAAUUAAAAUGCUACAAUAGUCUUAUAACAACAAAAAUCACUUUCUAAGACAUUUUUUUAUAAGAUUUCAUACUAUUAUUUAACCUCUAAAUAUGACGGAAUUUUAACAAUUAUGUUUGAUUUAUGAAAAUUAGAGACUUUAAGGGGUAAAUUUUUAAAAUUAAAAGUAUAGAGAGUGAAACGAUGUUAACCUCAAACCUCAGGGGUAUAAAUUGAAAUUAAUCCAAUAAAUAAAUAUAUGUAAAAUUUGUUGAUGAGGAAAAAAAUAUUAUCAUGAUAUAUUUGAUUUGUUAAUUUCCACCUUAAUUAGAUUGAUUUUGAUGUUUCUUAGCCCUGGUGACUAUUUGAUCAUCUCCCAUUGUAAUACUUCCUCAUAGUUCUGUGAAGUAAAAGGUUUUCACUGUCUCACCCUGUACAUACAUGUCUUCGACCGUGUAUCCGUAAAUUCACCUUCUACUAUUUGUUGAGAAAGAGAAAUACUGGGUAGCUAAAAAUGUGCAGUACUUUCAAACUGUUACAAUAGAAAGUAAAGAAAAAAGCUCAAUGAUUGAACCCUGAAUGGAAUACUUCCGUAAAUACAUAUCCAUGUUUUCCUAUCUAGGGUUUCAUGAAUAGUAACUAAAUUGACAGAAGCAUAGUAGGUUUUUCGCAGUCUAGCUACUAUUCUACUAACUUGGACGUCGACUAAAUUAAUAUUGCGAUUAACUAACAAGUUAGUCCCAAAAACUAGUGCGGGCUCUCUAGAUGUGUCACUCUCUCUAAGUUUCGCAGGCACUUAAUUUGUUGAUGACAAUUUAGGGUUUGCAACGUCGAAGUGAGCACUGUGAGCUCAUCCCUUAGAUCCUUGUUGAUUCCUAGCUAGAACUAGCAUCAAGGCUUCUCUCUCUCUCUCUCAUCUCUGCAGUUCUUGAUCUUGUCAAGAUUACUUGUGUUGUUUAUGAUCUGUCAAGAUAUCUGUUUAACACUUUGAGUCUUCUGAUUGUGAUCGUUUUUCACCAUCCUAAUCCUUGCUGGUAGAUCUUGCUGAUAGCAUAUUACAUAUAUAGCAAGUUUUUGCCCGGUUUGGUUGUUGUUGAUGCAGAUAGCUAGGUUGGUUCAGAGGCAACCUUGGGGAGUUGGGGGUGCGGCCGGUGUGCAAUUGGUAGCCACACACACUCGAAACUAUUUAUAUACCGAGAAUGUUGAAACUCACCAAAUUGUAGUUUAGUUGAUUGGGUAAAACCAAGGAGUAAAAUACUAACGAUUAUAAAAAUUUUGAUGGUUCGAAAAAAAAAUCUUGAUGGAUAUAUCGAGAUAAUAUCAAAUAUCGAUGAAAGUUUUACUAAAUUUUAUCUAAAAAUUGUAUAUUCGAUCAAAAAUAAAACUAAAUAUAAAAUAUCAGAAAGAUAUAAAAAUUAAUAUCGAUAAUUAUAAAAAGUAAAAUUUUAAAAAAAAUAUCGAUGAUUAUUUUAAAUAUUUUACUCUGGGGUAAAACCGCCAUGCAUUUCUAGGUACUUGUUCAACUAUGUACUUUGGGUUUGAGACCCAGUUGCGCUAGCUUGUCUUUAUCCUUAAUUUAGAACUCUUUGCCUUUCGUGAUCUAUCAAUAAUACCUCAACCAAAAUUUUUGCACUAGGUCUUCUUGAAAAUUUCAGGCUUGGUACCGGGUUGGUUGCUGUGAAUAUAUACAUGUGAAUUUUUCGUUUCAAUUUCAUCAUGUUCAGUAAUUAUGUGAUUAUAAUUGGGUUGUGCCGUAAUUAACUUCAGUGGUUACGGUGGCUUUGGUGGUGUUGCAGAUCGUUUAAGGUGUUGCAGGUUUCGGCUUCUCAUGGCUGGAGUAACCUUCACAAGUGUAUGUCUGGAAGCUAUUAUAAUGGUGUUUUCAUAUGUGCCGUAUAUAGUGCUUUUACGUACGAUGGCUUCGUCUAACUAAAUAUAAAUAUCAAUCUCAAACUCUCAAUAAUUUGAGAGGCAAAUAUAAUAAGUAAUAGGAAUGGCAUCUACAUUAUAUUCAAAGCUAAAAUAAUUAGGAAACAGAAUAGAAGGGUGAGGGAACCACAUCAAUAGCCAAUACGGUUAUCUAAUGGGAAUGUGGAAAUAAUUAAAUUUUGUUAUCACUUAUCAGUCAUCACAUCAGAUUCUGAGUCACUUUGCCAAAAUCGGUUGUCUAAUCAACCCAAAUUCCCAAAAGGCUGCCUUGCGGAAAUGAACCAUUUCUUACUACCAUUUCAUUUUUCUCAAUUGUCCAAUCAUAACUUUAUUACUCUUCCCUGUCCGUCCAUCAGAAUUCUCAUCAAUAAUUCAUCAGUAGCUUUUUCUAAGAAAAUAAAAGAAGGGAGCAACCCACAGUUGGAUCAAUGAUUGAAUACGUACACUACGAGUGGAUGUUUUACUUUCCCACUUUUAACUUUGUUACUUAACCCGGAUUAGAUGACCUUAACGCCGAAAAUUCUUCUAUACAUCAAGAUGUAAUUGAACUGAAUAAUUAAUAUGCAGUAUUUUGAUCUAGUUAUUUAUGUCACACUAUAUGCAUAUAUAUAAAUAUCGUUAAUAAAAUUAAAACAAAAAAAAAUAGUCUUAGGUGUUUUCAACUAAAGAGGUGAGAACAUUAGGUUGAAGAAAAUAUACUCUUGUUAUGACCAUUUCAUUUGAUUGGAUCAAAAGUGAUAUUGAAAAUAAGAAAUUUCGGGUCUUUAGUAUUUAUUCGAUAUUCUCAUAUGACGAUUUGAGCACUUGAACAUUAAUAGUGUAAGUACACCUUGGUGCGUAAAAUCCGCUUCCCUUAACACUUGAAGAAAACACUCUAAUUAUUGUUAUUUUAUAAGAAACACCUCCCCUUAGUAACUCGUAUUUAAAUGUUCUAAUUAAGAACAUCUUCAAUAAUAAUUGUUAAGUUUUGGCCAUAUAUGUUGUGAAAAAUAUAGAGUCGUCUAGCUCAUAUACAUUCAUCGAGUUGUGUUUAAUCAAUAGUAUUGUCUUUUUAUAAUUUGAAUUAUUAGUUUCUGUAAUAAUAUCAGCUGGCGUCCUGGUACAAUUUAUAUAAACUUACCUGGCGCGCAAAUAAUAUGGUCAGAUUUCCUUAAAACCAAAUUACUUAACCCUUUACACACCAUCCUAGCUUGUUUAAUAAGUUAUUGAAGAGAGGACAGUCAUAUUUGGAUCAUGUUCUCUCUAGGUCGAGCAACCUCCCUACUUUUGUCUUGUCGGAGUUAUUAUCCACCAGUUCCGACCUGCUUGCCUUGCCGGAUCUGGCCAACGAUUGUGUACCCCUUUUGCCUGAAUAUAAAGGUAUCAGACUAAUCAGAGUCGACCUCCUAAUUAAACCUAGCUAUAGAGGGAGAAGACGAAUGACCUAGAGAUUGAACAAAUGUGGUCGUCGUAGUAGAUUUCCAUCACUUAAAUUUGAUUUCAUCACGCAUGAUGAAAUUUCUCUAUGUCAAUAAUAGGGUUCAGUUGAGCUGUGGCGCCUGUCUUCUCACGUAUAAUUGCGCUUUCCUGUCUCUCUCUCUCUCUCUCUCUCUCUCUGUAUUGUACGUCACUGCGCCCUAGAUUGGUUUUCCUUCUACCUUUGAUUUAACUGGCCCUGUAGUUUGUAUUCUCUGUACUCUGAUGAAUGAUGAUAAUACAGAACAUUGCCCCGCAGCGAAUAUUUUGUACCCUAGAAUUUUCCCGAUACUAUUACUAUAGGACGGUGAAACAUUCAGAUCUAAAAGAAAUUUCGCACGUACUGCUGGUAAAUUAGAUGAAAUUGUUAGAUAGUGUAUCCGAUAUAUUACAUAUAUAAUUCCACCACAGUGAUGAGUAAAACAUUUUCCGCCACGGUGAUAACAGCCGCAUAUUCACAAAUACUUAAUACAUUUUUUUUUAUUUACCCAUUUAGAUUCUGACAUGUGGCAUAUUCAUUUUUUUUAUUUUACAAACUUAACAACACAAUUACACAAAUAUAAGUAAAUUCAUUUAGAAUACAUAAAUUUGGCUCAUACUUCGUAAUUACAACAUAUAGACAUUUAUUACAAAAAUUUCAACUAAAUGUCCUUAUCUUUGUAAAAACGUUGUGAAAAAUAUAAUUAUUUUCUCAAUACAAAAAACAACACCCAAUUACAAAACCAAGAAUCAUAUUACAUGAAUGAGAACAAAUGAUCUAUUUAGUCCAAAUCUGAAAAUUUACAAUUUCGAUAACACAUUUGUCUUCAAUUUUGUAAAAAUGGUCAUAAAUUUGUAAAUAUGGUUCAUACCUCGUAAUUAUAACAUAUGAACAUUUAUUAUAAAAAUUUCAAUCAAAUGUCUUUAUGUUUGUAAAAGCGUUGUGAAAAAUGUUAUUAUUUUCUCAAUACAAAAUACACCACUCAAUUACAAAACCGAGAACUAUAUUACAUGAAUGAGGACAAAUGGUCUAUUCGGUUUAAAUCUGAAAAUUUAUCAUCGCGACAACACAUUCGUCCUCAAUUUUGUAAAAGGGGUCAUAAAUCUGUAAUUUUGAUCCAGACCUCGUAAUUACAACAUAUGAACAUUUUAUUACAAAAUUUUCAAUCAAAUGUCUUUAUGUUUGUAAAAGCGUUGUGAAAUAUGUAAUUAUUUUCUCAAUACAAAAAACACAACUCAAUUACAAAACUGAGAACCAUAUUACGUGAACAAGGACAAAUGGUCUAUUUGUUCCAAAUCUGAAAAUUUACAAUUCGACGACACAUUCGUUCUCAAUUUUGUAAAAGGAGGGUCAUAAAUAUGUAAAUUUGGUUCACACUUCGUAAUUACAACAUAUGGAUAUUUAUUACAAAAGUUUUAACCAAAAGUCCUUGUGUUUGUAAAAAAAAUUAAAAAAACCACAAUAUAGAAAACUGGUAGGUAAUCUAGAAUUUUCCAUAAAACAGACCACAUCAAGAGAACAGAAAAUGAACCAAGGAAGAAAGCAGAAGCAAAGGAAGGUAGCUAGCUAAAUUUCCGUUCAAAAUUCAACUUGAGCAAAGGAGAAAAUAUAAUAACAAGAAGUGGCUUCCUUCGUCUGCGCAAGCAAUUCAAGAAAGUGCUAUUCCUCCCUUUUCCUUGUGAUAAUGUAUAUUCACAAACCACGGCCAGACACAUAAAUUGAUACUAUUCAAAGCUCGUCUUUGUUGACAUGACUGAACAACUAGAUUCAUCUGAUGCUUAAUUAGAUGCCCUAACUGGCUGCAAAUAAAUCUUUAUGUCAAAUGCUUAAUCAAGCCACCUUUGCUUAGUUCCUCAUGCCGGGGUCGGCUGUAAAGCAUAUCUUUUCCUAAUAUAAACCAAGCUAAUGAUCUAUUAAUGGGGUUGCAACUUUGCGAUUCUUUAUAUAGUAGUAGAGGAGACAGAUAGAAUUUCAUUUUGAGCUGUUCAAGCACCCAUAAUUAAGCAUAUAUUGCAUUAAUCAACUUUAAUGUCAUAUUAACAAAGGAAAUAUUCACUGAUCAUGAGCAAAGCUGUUGCUAACUCUAUCACUUAACAAUAUUUAAGAUUGAAUAUGUCAUAAACCUGUACUUGGACAUGAAAAGAGGAUGCAACACGAACAUAAUCUUCAUUUCUUUACCUUUCUUUUACAAGUCAAGUCAGAAUCUUAUAAAUCAGUGAGUUAUAUUCCAUUUGAACAGGUGCUAGCUAGUGUGCUACUACACUUUAAUAAUUCCUAAUGUACGUUAUAGGAUUAAUAAUUUUGAUGGGAUUGUUUCUCUUUUGUGGGUGCAUAACUUUGGACCUCGCUCCCCAUGGUUAACCAAUUCAAGAAGAAAGAAGCGAGACUAUACCAAAUGUACCAGAUGAUAAUUGCAAUUAAAAUGGAUUACAUAUUCCAAUUCCACCAAAAGGUUAAAACAGCACUUCCUACAUUCAGAAGUUCGAAUGACUAGGAAUCAAUACUGUCCGAUUUCUCCCGUGUUCCACGAAUUAGUAUUUGGUUCUAAUACUAUCUGAGUAUCUGUCCUAAUUGUAGGAACCAAUGCUGUUUUUGCUAAUUAAGUUUUUUUCUUCUUCCUUUAAACCAUAGGAAAUGAAGUUACUUAUUAUUUAAACAUUAUAACGUACUUAAUUACCAUGAUAGUAUUUUCUCGACAUAAACCAUGAUGGCAUUGCAUGAUUCCAUUUACGUUACGAGGAACAAGUAAACAGAAAACUCAAUGAAAGAACCGAAAAAAAUGUUUGGAUAUCCAAUGCUCAAAGCUAAUUGCAUCCCCAUGUGUAGAUACUGCCCAAGCUCCCUUUGAACGCCAUCACAAGAGCACCAUUUUCAUCCCACAACAAAGCCUCAAGUCCACGAACCCCAUAUAUCAGGCGUACAGUGCCAUCUCCAUUGAUCUUUGGUAUUCGGAAAACCGUAACAGAAAUGUCCGGUCUGAUGACAAGACUGUUGUUACAUGCCUACAAAUAUUGCUUUGCUGGUGCCAAAUCAUAUAUGUGCCAUACAACAAAAGCUUGGGUGGGGUGCCUGGCGAGGUUGCUUGUUCUAACCUCGAAAGAACAACAGUCGGAGCUGUUAACUAUAUAAAUUGGAAGCCAUCAAAAGCAAGAUACAGAUGAAAAAAAAGCAUUUGCAGAGCAAAAAAUAAAUAAGAAAUGCGAUUUUCACUAACCCUACAUUUUCAUUUCUUUGAGCCUGAACAUUUAUACAUCAGUACGAGUACAAACAACUGUUUACCCGGUCUGUGAUGCCAAGAAGUUACCUAAGUCUGCCAGACAUCUAAACUACAAGUUGUUACGUAAGGCAUUUUUUGCUCUUCCUAACCAGUUGAAGAAAGGAGUCAUUGCCUGAUGAUAAGCUCAGCCUGGAGAUGGAGAACAGAAUUAAUGAAAUAGAUGCUGUCAUCGGCCAUGAAUGUUGUCCAGGGUAUAGCAAGCAAGUUCCUAUACCCAACAGCCUUCCCACCAGUGAAAGUGUAAGUACCUUUGUGUUUACUCUGAAACUCCUCCUCAGGCUUUACCCUUACUGAGAAUUCAUAGUCAACUACAAAACUAACUGAUCCCUUCUCUUGCAUCCCUAAAAACAGCCCCAAGCACUGAAAGGAGUUCUGUUGGUCCAUGUUGCAAUGGGCAGACAAGAAAAAGCCCUGCCCACCCAGGUUAAAAGCCUGUGAGUACACCCGACCAGCUGGAAACAAGCGUGCACACUCUUCGCGCUUCAGAUCUAGGUACACAAUACACUGUGGAUGGGGUAGUUCAAAUUCCACUAUUUUCACUGGCCUGUACUUGUAGGAACGAUCCACAAAGCCACGAUACGUGGCGUUAGCAUUCUCCACAGCAAGUAACCGCUGCCUGUAUGGUGUCUCAGACUUGUAAAACAAAGCCUCAAGCACUAUCUUUGAUGACAGUUGAGGAUCAAAAUCAUUGCAGCUUAGAACCUUCCUAAGCUUUCGACAGGACAUGAAAGGAAAACGAAUGAGGCGAGCAAGGCGCGAAGCAAUGACUUCUUGUCGAUCUUCAGCAUUCCGGUAAUGCAACCGUGCCCACUUAAGAACCAGAUCAAAAAUAGCAUCCUCUGAUGCAACAUGGAGAUCAUCACUAGACAGUACAGCCUCGAUACCAGCAAGGGGCAAGUACAACACCUCAUCCACAAACCUGGUAAGAAAUGCAGCACUUCAACAAUCAAAUUUCUGAAUAUGCAAAUGAAAUAUACCAUAUAUCAAAUUAUGUAGCUUGAUCCAAUAAAUUAAAAGUGGAUAUAACAAAUACUUCAAAGAUUUAAACCACAAGUAAAAUUUUGAUAUCGGAGUACAGGGAGGACAAAUCGUUGUUGCUUGUUCCGGAAAUGAAGAGAUUCUGAAAACUAGAUUGGAGAGAUUAUUGGAAAGAGUACUUCAAAGAAAAGGCUUGAAGCACUUAAAACAUGAUUAAGAAUCAUUAUGAUAAGAUUAAAGUUGCAUGAAAAAAAGAAGCUCACUUGGUUAGUUCUCUAUAGCGGGUAGCAAGGAACUUUUUUGCUGUAUCUGUGAGUGAUUGAACUGCAUCAACCAUCAGAACACUAGAUGGAAGGUCCAAAUAAAGCAAGGCAGAAUCACGAGUCAUAGGCAAUUGUCCCAAUAACCUACUGCAAUAUCUCAUGCAAGAUUCAACCUCAAAUUUGUCAGCAGCCUUUAGCACAUCCAACAAUGAAGGUGCUGUUGUCGUGGACAAUGUAUUACCAUAAAUGAAAUUAAGAAGGUCCAUGAGGGCCGCUUCUUCUGCAGUCAGAUUAGAUGAUGUAGAUACAGUUAGAAAAGGCUUGUAUAAGAUAUAUCUUUACUAUUAAAAAAUAGCACCAUUGCAGUUGCAAAUUUCCUAAUAAAGAUGAAUCAACAAAUUUCAUUAGCUGAUAAUACAACCGAGAAAAAAGAGUACCUGAUUCAUGAAUUCUUAGAGUUGCUUGUCGUUCCUCUAACCCUGACUGUUUCAUCCCAUCCGAGAACAACUACGGGAGGCAAAAAAACAAACAUGUGAGUGACUGAAGACAGCCACUAAAAGAAACCAGCAAUCACCAGGACAAUAUAUUUCACCUUGUAAAAAAAGGGACUCUUUGCAGCCAAUAUCGGAGAACUUAUAUGUAUGGUUUCAACCCUCAGAACUGUGGAGCAAUCCGUGAUCCAGAUACCAGCAGCUUUAACAUUGACACAAUUGCAGAGUGAAACUACAAAAUGAUACCACAACCAGUCAAUAAUUUCACAGCAACAAACAAAAAACUAUGGCGGCCAACAUACCAAAUCAGGAUAUAUAACCGUAUGAUAUCCAACUAGUAAUAAAAUAGAUUUACAAACACAAAAGCAGUUUACUAGUCCUAGGAAAAGAAGAUAAGAAUUUUGUUAUCAGUAUCCAUUCCGAUUUCACAUGAGAGAUAUUGGGGGCUUCAGCAUAGAUUCAUAGAUUUCAAAGAAACAAGAAAAGAGAACAGACAGACCAAGAUAAUAUACGAAAACCUAAGAUUAAGUCAGAACCUGAAGGCGACUCGGUAGUUGCCAUAGCAUCCUCAUCUUGAUUUUCACAUACCACAAAAUCCUCUGUAUCAAGCAUGUUACAAUGUAAGACCUGCUCCUCACAUUGCACAACAAUGUCCUCAGCUGAGAGAAAGUGCAAUAACACUCCAAUUCAGUAAUAUGUAGUUUAACCAACACGGUAAAGUAAGCAUAAUACUUGGGCUGAAACACAUGCAAGAUAGAUAUCCUAAACAGUUAUAAAACUCAAAUCCAAAACAAAAGUAACAGAAUGACCAAAGAAAAGAAAAAAACAUAGACAGAAAACACUAUUCUUAAAGGCCAUUAAGCCAUGAACCUAUUAUACUGUAUGUCAACGACACAAAGGUAUUACAAAACACAGUCUAUAUAAUUCAACAUUCCUGUAAUCGAAUCCAAGUUUCUAAUCUGUGAACUCUAGCAUCCUCUAACCGAAAGUAAUCUUGAUAAUAAUCAGGUAAAAUCACAAUGAUAAAUGCACAUUCCAACAAACACUGCGCUGCACCCCUAACCGAAACACAAAAACUAAACAACCACCCUAAAGAUGUAGUCUUUCCAAUAAAAAAAACUCUGAAAACUCACCGAAGCUACAAGUAACAGUACUAACAGAGACAAUAACACAAACUGGGGCCUUUUACUUGUUUUGUGCGUAUACACUACAAAAUAAUUCACCAUCUCAAAACCCAAUUUCGACCCAGCAAUGUUAAGCCAAACAAGACAAUAAAGGUGCAAUCUUUCCCCCAAUUCCCUCAAUUUCAUACUAAACCCUAAUUUCAUCAAAUUGGUAGAAAAAAAAUAAAAAUGAAAACUUGGGAAAGAAAUUGCUACCACUCUGGUUCUUACUCUCGGCCCUGCGUCUCUUUCUAUUAUGCCCCCAAUCGGAGUUGCUGACGUAGGCCUCAACGUCCGAUUGGGAAACCGGAAUGUCGGGGAGGAUUUCGAUCCUGAGAACCCGAUCGGAGAAAUUGGGGUCGUUGAAGGCGAAGGUGAAGUCCAGUUCGGGGGACGGCGGUGUCUCCGGGACGGUGAUCGGGUGGUCGACCUUGGCUUCCGUCAUUUUCCGGAUAUCAAAACGAUUCGUUUUGAAUCGAGAACACGUAAAGCGGAGGUAUUUUAUUUUCAAAGGAAACUUUAACUCUAACAGAGCCGCAAGCAGAAAACAGUUGAAGCCAAAACGGCAUCGUUUCGGGGAGGGACGAGUAAAUUAAGAUUUAAGAGUGUGUGCUAAUGUUGUCACGCUGUGGUGAUAAGUGCAUGGUCACUUUGACACCUUCGUUAAACGAGGACGAUCGUUCACUAGGCCACUUGAGUUUAGCCGUGGUAGUGUUGUAUAUGAUUUUUGCUUUCUUUAACUUAUUAAUGUCGAUUAGUUUGCUAAUUAUGUUUGUGGCUCACUGUUCAUGUGUAGACAAAUUAUAGUUUAGAUGUGGGAUAAAACUUCUAAAUUCGGGAUUGAUUUAUUUGGUUGGUCACUUGGUUGGAAUGGUCUAAAGUUUGAGAGAGAGAGAGAGAGAGAGAGAGAGAGAGAGAGAGAGAGAGAGAGAGAGAGAGAGAGAGAGAGAGAGAGAGUAGAGUAGUAGUAGUAGUUAGUAGUAGUAGUANNNNNNNNNNNNNNNNNNNNGAGAGAGAGAGAGAAUGGAAUGGUCUAAAGUUGUCAUAUAUUUUGGUACAGAAGAAUCUCGAUCAAAUUUUCAUGUUGAGCACAUAUUGUCAGCAUGAUAAUGAAUGACAAUGAUGAAACUAUGAUAAUGUUAUAUGGUAGAGGAAUCUGAUAAGUUUUUUUGGGGGAAAAUUGCUAUGGUAUUAGUGUAGACCAAAUGCAAGAGCUAAACCAACUAUUUGAAUUAGAUAUUGGAUGAAACUAAAAGUUUUGAGACAUAAAAGUAAUAUGCUCGUUUACAAAUGUAAGAUCGGUAUUCAUAUGUAUAUCAAACUUUUAUAGCUUAUGUUUUAGCAGAAACUAAUUAAGCAGGAACAUAUGCAUAGAAAUAGAAACAAAAAAGAACUUAGGAUGAUCUUGAACGUUAGUUUUUACUUGGGAUGGUCAAGCUUAUACUAGCCCCUAAACAAGGUCAAGGACUUGCCAUGGAAGCUUCAUUGAGUAACUUUCUGAUAGAUGAAUCAUCAUUGAGUUUCAAAGAGUUAACGUUUACGUUAAUGGAAAUGGUGGCUCUUUUAGCUCAUGCCAGCAAAAUGAGUCAUUUAUAGAUGAAUAUAUACAAGAGUACGAUGUAAUGUAAAUUAGGAAUCAUAAUCCUACUCAUAAUCUAGAGGAUUGUAAAGAUAAGUUUUCACUUGGAACGGCCAAGCUUAUACUAGCUUUAUAGAGGGUUUGUAUAUUUGUAUUGAUUUUGGUUGUUGAAUGCUUGGCGCUUAAGGGACCAAUUUCUUGUGUUAGUUUUGAAAUUUAAUCAUUUUUGGUAACAAGUGUGGAGUGUCGAAGAUUUCUCAGCUCAGUACCCAAAAAUGACGUUCAACUCUAGAGUAAACAAAAACAAGAUGUUUAUUGUACACCCUUGGUUAGCAUUCGACACCUUGGUGGGCUAAGAUUUUUCUUGUUUUCACCACAAAAUCUACCAUCAUUAAAAUGAUGAAUGGGAUUGGAUUCUCGUGAGGUAAAAGCUGGUGUCCCUCCAAAUCUGACUGGAUUUCACUUCUACAUAAAGUCCAACGUCUAUAUUGUAAAUAUGUCAUCCCUAUUGGCUUUGAGGAAAGUCGAGCACACCAAACACUUGAUGAAAGGUGCUCUAAAAGUCCUUUGUCUCCAGGGACCACGAAGCAUGCUGAUCAUCUUUGCCAGAACAUAUCAUUAUAGAGAACCCCUUUAAUCCUAGACAUUCAAGUAGACUAGUAGAGUACUCAUACAAAUCUAAGUUCAUCAGCAUUGUUUGGGAAACUGAAGUAUUGGUCAGUAAUGUUAGGAUUGUUGAGAAUCCACAGUAUGAGCUGGUUUUUCAUCUCGGUUUUCUGCAUCUUUCUUUUCUGCUCGUGUAGCAACUCUAGCAGUACUGACUCUUUAGAUGUGUUCACUAGAGAUGUGGCCCUGAAGACUCUUGUGCAGCACCGGCCUCACACCGGUGCUGUGUACAAGGCAAUCCUCCCGGCUAACCUAUCCGGCGUGGAAGUCUUUGUUGUGGGGCUUCGAAGCAGGAGGUUGUGGAACAGAGGUGCUGAAAAGCUCAGCUGUUUUCAUAUCCCAUCAAGAACCAAGCCAAUGCCUCAUGUGAAGAGACUGGCUUUGGUGUAUCAAGACUUGGGGAAUCUGUCAUCUCAGUUCUACCAUCAUCCAGGUUACUCAUUUCUCACCUCUGUUGUUGGUUUACUAGUUUACGAUGCAACAGAUACAAGUUCGACAAAUGCAAGAAGGGUUGGUCUAAACACAAUGGGGAAGCCGAUAUUGAUUCAGUUCCCGAAUCUGACAUUGGAGGAACGUUUGAUCUCUAAGGCAAAAUGUGCAUUGUUUGCUGCCAACGGGACAGUUUACCUCAGUGACAUGAGAUCUCCUGGGGUAUGUAACACUAAUGAUGAAGGUCAUUUUUCAAUUGUUGUUCCAGUAAAGAAGAAACCGGAGAUCCUGCGGUAUUCAUGGGUAGUUGCAAUUGUCCUUGGUGUUCUUGUAGCUAUUUUGGGGUGUUAUCUUGGGAUGGUAUGUAUGAGACAUCGAAAGAGGAAGAAGUUUCAAGUAAUGGAAGGACAGGCUGAAGACGAUUCAGUUCUUGAAAAUAGGUGGGUUUGUGGUAGCAAAAUGCCCUCGGGUGGAGUUGUAAGAACUCAGCCAGUUCCUGAGAAUGGUUUUCGACACCUAGCUUCACCUGAUCACUUCAGCUGAAGAUAGCAUAAAGUCGGUCGCAAGGUACCAAAAUCUGUUUGAAAGGAAUUGUAAAUUUGUGAAACAUGAACUUGCUGAGCAGCUAAUACUAUAAACAUUAAGGUUCAAACUCUGCUUCAGAAUUAUGAUUUACACUUUACAGGGUAAAUGGCAUGUAACCAGAUGUGUAACAGAUAAAAAGUGUGUUUUUGGUGGUUUGCAUUAGACCAAAUCUAGAGAAUUAGUUUUGUAUUGAACUCUUCAUAAGUUGUAAUGUAACUAGUGUCAGUUUGGGAAUCAAGAAGAAACUGUCCAAUCAUCUUUGUUAGUAUGUAUAAGUAGUACUUAUUAAUCACAACUGGCUCAAGUAUAAUUCCAAAGGGAAGAAUCUCUUGAACAUCAGUAAUUUGUACCUUGAAUGCUUCUGGACAAAGGAAAAGAAGAAUGAAUGCUGCAAUAGCUUAUUAAGUAACUAAACUCUAGCUCAGUGCCAUCAUUAGACCAAAAAUUGGCCAAAAACUCAAUGGCAUCUUUAAAUUUUAAAGCCGGAUGGUCCAAGCUGUACCAGAGGUGAUCACCUUUCCCAAAUCAAUCUUCUGAAUGGAGGCCGGCUUUGGCAGAACGAGACCAGUAUUCCUUGACAAGCUGCCCAAAUAGUGACCCCUUGUUGUUUAUCAGCUUCGUUGGCUCAUCAUACUCCACUACUAGCCCUGUCAAUGCAAUUUUGGCAAGUUACAACUAGGAUCACAUAACUACCACAAGCAAUUUGUUCAGCACAUUGUUCCUUAUAGAGGGGGAUAGGGUGCUUACCGUCACUUAUAGCAAGAACCUUAGUGCAGUCCAUCACGGUUGGUAUCCUAUGGGCCACUGUUAUUACAGUGCUAUCUGCAAAUUCCUUUCUUAUAGUUUUCUGGAGAAUGGAGUCUGUUGCAUUGUCCAUUGAUGCAGUGGCUUCAUCCAGCACAAGUAUUCGGCUCUUCUUCAGUAAAGCACGUCCCAAACAAAAUAGUUGACGCUGCCCUGUGCUCCAGUUUGUUCCAUCUUGCUCAACUGCAAAACCCUUUCUUAGUUGUGGUUUCAACGACAUCGAAAGGCACCACUAGAGUACUCAAUCUCUAGCUUAUGGUCUUACCAAAGGAAUCUAGACCCUCUUCUUUCUCUUGAAUGGCUUCUCGCAACUGGCAUUUCUCAAGAACCUUUAUCAUUUUCACAAAAGAUUUAUGUGUGAGAUACAUAACAUAUAGAGUAUGGAUAUAUACUUCACUAGUUGUGAUGGAGCCUUUUUAUAACUUUUAGCUGAACACAUUAAGCUUUAUGAGUGAAAAGGACUUCAAAAUUCAUAGCACAUAUGCAAAAACUUUACCUCCCAUAUUUCAAGAUCAGUAUGCUCUGACAAGGGGUCAAGGUUGAAUCUCACAGAGCCACUGAAUAAGGUUGGCUCUUGUGGGAUGAUCCCCAAACGUGAUCUUAAAUCAUGAAUACCAAUGGUACAAAUGUCAUAAUCAUCUACAAUGACUUUUCCCUCCGUAGGCUCUACCAGACGAAACAAAACGCUGAUAAGAGUUGUCUUUCCACUUCCAGUCCGGCCAACAAUUCCAAUUUUGGAGCCUCCUUCAAUGAUGCAAUUUAUCCCACGAAGAACCAAAGGAGAGUUUGGCCUGUAUCUUACCUGCAUAAUGCUAUUCAAGGUCAUACUCAAGUUCCAAUUUUCCUAGAGUAACAUUUUGUUGUGUUUCUUUGUCAUGCUAACCUUUAAGUCGCAUAUUUCCACUUUACCAACAAGAGGCCAAUUGUGUGCAGGUCGGUUGUCUUCUAUUACUUGCGCAGAUUCACUGGGAAUAUGCAUGUAUUGUUCUACCCUUUCAACGGAAACAAUUGAAUUUCCUAUCAUGCACUGAAGUUGGACAGAAGUUACAAGGUAUACAUUUAACGAGAGACCAUAUGAUAGUGUCAUCCCAAUAAAACCUGUCAAAUGAUAGACAAACAUGUAUGAAUAUAUAGAUGGUUAUGAGAAGGAAUGUAUAUGUAUGCUUCAAAAUGAGAAGUUAGAUGGCGGCAAGACAAUCUCUACUAACCAGAGGAAGAAGCAUCAAUCCAAGUAAUGGCAAUGGCUGAGGCUGAGAGAACAAUAGCACACAGAAAUUCCAGACGUUCAGUUAACCACUCAUUUGUUGAGAAACUAUUGAAGUCAGCACUAGAAUUUGCAUCAACAAAAUCCAAGUUUAUUGAGUAGAGUCGUUUCUCCUGUCCAAAAGCUCUGAUUGUCAUGGCUCCAGCAAUAGAUUCAGAAAGUUGGCUUGCAAUUGCAGACUUAGUCGUGCCAUUCAUUCGCAUCAACUCUUUUGCUGAAGCAAAGUAGUAAUUCUGUUGAUACAAAAGAAAACUAAUUAAGAAGAAGAUAUAGUUUCGAAAAGGCAAAAAGUGUAAUGAAAUUAUUGAAAUGGUAACUAAAGUUGGUUUAGUGCAGUACCUGAAACAGAUAAGUAAGAUAUAUUGUAGGUGCAAUCAGAAACAUGAGUGGCCAAGCAAGAACAACCAAUACCAAAAAUAUGCUGUAAGCGCUAACAAUCGCCCCAGCAGCAAAUGCCAACUUUAAACCAACUUCGAGGUCGAUGAUAUUCAUAUCAGUAGAUACCUGAAAUAGCCAAUGAAAAUGUAAGGAAGUUGCAUUCUCUUGCAGUAAAGCCCCAAGAAGAUCAUUCAAGUUAUGUUUUAGAAACUCUCAAGUCUUACCCGACUAAGUAUCCUCCCCACAGGUGUUGAAUCAUAAAACAGCAUUGGUGCACGGAAAAGAGAGUUCAGUAGCGCAGAGAAAAUAGAUUCUGAAGCUCCAUAUCCUAAAUCGACUAUCAUAAAAGAUCGAAAAAGCAAAAAGAUCGACAUAAUACAGAAGAUCACAGAAUAAACUGUGAAUAGUUUGACUCUGGACACGCUAUAAUCCUGAAGAUUCAAAGCCAACCAAUAAUUCUGAAUUAAUUGCCCAACAAUGAACAUAAACAAGAAAAGAACUGAUAAAGAGAAGUGCAUAAAGCCAUUGCUAUGCUUCAAAUACUGAAUGUAUGGCUUGAACCCUGUGUCUCCUGUUUCUCUCUCUUCUUUCUUGAUCAAUUGAUCUCCUGAAGAUUCUUUUCUCUCUACCUCAGUUCUUUCUUUCUCAAUCUCCUUUGCAGCCAAUUUGUUUUUCCUAGUAGAAGCAUAUUCAACUUGCCUCUCAGAACCAGCAGUGUCAUUGUGUGCAUUAACAAGGUCUUGGAACUCUUGACAAGAAGCCAGUAACUCGUUGUAAGGAGCUGCUCUUGAAAUUUUGCCCGAAGACAUCAGCUGUGGACAAAAGAAAUAUGCAGAACAUAAACUGAUUGCUUCACAUAUGAGACUUACCUAGAAUAUCAAUGAAGGAAUAAAGAAAACUUAUUUUUAAACCCAAAUGGACCAUAAGUAAUCUAUCAAAAACAUAAAUAAGGAUGUAUGGUACAAAGAAAAGCUGAGAAAUCAAGAAGAGCUUAUACAUUACCAAUAUGGAAUUAAAUGCUGGAAGGAAGUCGACUUGGUGUGUAACAAGCAACACCGUCUUCUCUGCCAGAGCUCCCAUGACAUAUUCCUGGAUCGAAAACUUUCACAUCAGAUUUCAAAGCAGAUAAUUUCAAAUUGAAAGAAAUCAUAACUCAUAUUUUUGGUGAAUAAAGACAAUAAAAGACAUCAUAACUAGUUGAGAAGUAAUAGUUACAUUGAAAAGGCUUGUGGCAGUAUGGGCAUCAACAGCACUGAAAGGAUCAUCCAAUAAGUAGACUUCAGCAUUUUGAUACAAUGCUCGUGCAAGUUGAAUGCGCUGUUUCUGGCCACCACUUAAAUUGACCCCUCUUUCUCCUAUUUGAGUGAGAUCGCAGAAUGGAAGAAUCUCCAGGUCCUUUAUGAGAGAACACUGCUGAAGUAUUUCUCGAUAUCUUACAUGAUCCAUGGGAGACCCAAACAGAAUAUUAUCUUGUAUAGUUCCUGUUUGGAUCCAUGCAGAUUGAGAGACAUAUGCUAUUGUGCCAUAUACUUGAACCUGUACAUUUAGCUAGGCAAUCACAAGCUGUAGCAUGGAUUUAACCUUAUAAACUUUUAUUAUUAUUUUUGUUGCAAUGAAUACUUACAACACCAUUGAUUCGUGGAACCUCUCCAAGAAUUGCAGCUAAAAGGGUUGAUUUUCCUGAGCCAACCUCUCCACAAAUAGCAACUUUUUCUCCUGGUUUUACCACCAAAUUGAUGUCCCUCAAUGUGGCCUUUGUAGCACUAGUAUCCCAUGAAAUUUCAGGGGCUAUAAUGAAUAUGGAAUGCUCAAGCUCCUUGCCACCGCUCUCUUUCCUGGUAUGUCUGUUCUCCAACUCUGGUGCAUCAAGGAACUUAACAAUCCGAGAAAAUGAAACCUUGGCUUCAAUAAAUGCUCCAAAGACGUCAGGGAUUAGCCUAAUUGGCUCCUGAAGAAUACGCAAAGUUGCUAGAAAUGUGAAAACAUUACUAGGUGUGAGCGUAAAUCCGAGGAAGUAACAUGUCCAAAAGGUUACAGCUGCUGCCAAAAUAGGUGCUGUCCAGAAUAGUGCAUUACAAUACCCCUUUUGUGACAGUACUUUAGCUAUCCAGUUAAGCUCUUCUGCUCUAAAACCUUCUAUGACCUUCUUGAAAUUUGUCUCCCAAGAAUACAGCUUCAAGAUUUUCAUAUUUGAUAGUGCUUCUGUAAUGGCCCUCAACCUCUUGUUUUGUGCAGUCAUGAACUUUGUUUGAUACUCGUGCUGCAACUUCGCCAAUGGAGAGCUUACCACCACAGUCAAUAUGAGAACAGUUAAAGCUGCAAGAGUUGCAGCCCCAACAGCGAAGUAAAUAAUAAGUAAUGAGAGAAACAAUUGAAGGUUUGUGGACCAUAUCUGAUGAAACCAGAAUGGAAAUUCACCGAUUCUGUAAGCAUCCACUGUUACAUAGUUCACUAUAUCACCAGGAGAAUGAGUCAUCUUGGCAGCAUUUGAGAGUCUUAGUUGCUUCUGAUAAACUGCUGCAGAUAUCAGUGAUCUUACCUGGAGUCCAAUAAGUCUAGUCCUGAAGAACCAUUGCCUCUCCGACAGUGACUCCACGAUUUUCACAAAGAACAGACCAGCAGUCAGUGCAUAAACAUCAUAUCUAGAAGCUGCAUCGGCAUCGACAACCUUGAUGAAAGCUAUGAGAAACAGCGGGGAGACAGUCAUUGCGAGAAUCUUGAGGAGUGCAAAGAACCCUGAAACCAAAAUUGCUUUCCACUGGCAGAAAAAAAUUAUGGUCAGAACAGAAGGGUCACUACUGGAUGGAUGUCUUUCCUUUCUUUUCUGCAAUUGCACCUUAAAUACUGAGUGCAACGUUCUUGCUCGAUCAGCUUCUCGCAAUUGUGGAAUAUCUUCAUUCUCAAGAAUCUUUUCCUUACCUUUCUUCAUCAAAGGAUUCAACCACCAAAAUGUCAUUUUACUAAACAAUCCAGCCUUUGCAAAAUGAGUUACAUUGUCAUCUGAACUGAUUUCAUCACCUGUGAUAUCCUGUUCUGCACCAGGCAAAGGUGUGUAGCAUGCAUCACCAUCAUGGACUUCCAGAUCACCCUGUGCAUUAUUGCUUCCUUCAAAUGCACUAAAAAGCAACAGAACUGAUCCAGGGAAACAAAGAAUGUUCAAAACAAUCAGAACUGAUAAGGUCUCAUCCAUAAUAAAUUCCCAAACUGAUGAACCACAGAGAAGAAAUGCAAUCAAGAAACCAAAAAUUGAAAAGAAUUUCAUUAUUGCAUAAUGUGGAAGGUCUGGUUUCGAGAGGUUUAUGGUAAAACCCAGGCCCAACCAUGUAAACCCUUGAAAAAAAUAUACUAGCCAUCCAUGUAGAGGUAAAACCGUGUGAUAUGUAUCUACUUUCUCAAUGAUUAUCCAUAUCCCCAGUCCCAAGUAAGCCAAAGCCAAACCAGCAUUGAAAAUGACUGAGACAAUUGAUACUGUAGAGAAGGUGUAAGGUUGUGAUGGUGCUAUAAUCUUCUUUGACGCUAUUCUAUACAUAAGGAAACAUAACAAGAUGAAUAGGAGCAAAAUAUCAACUGCAAUGACCACAACAUUGUUGAUACAUGAAUUUGGAUUGAUAAUGGCUAGAAUGCCAGAACUGCAUUCAUUUCCGGACUCAUUUGAACACUCGGAACCAGUGCAGAAUAAGGUCCAGAAACCCUCCCCCAUGCUGUUCCCCAGUAAUCUGUAAAGUCUGCACAAUUACAAGCAAGAAGAAUUUAAAAGCAGAAAAGGAAAUGUAUGUUAUAUACACUGUUAAUUUUAAGCAGACUAACAAAAUUAAGACCACAUAUGAACAACAUAUAUGUACUUGAAAACAUAAUUGUAAAGGUGAGUGCAUACCUUUUCACAGAUUCGGAGAAAACUUCUCUGAUAGUCGGGUACAUAUGAAGUUAGCACCAAGUAAGGAAAAUGUACUAUUCAAGUUUGAAUGCUAUAAACCUAUACCCAUCAAAUGCAUAUAAUAUAACUCAAUAAAGAUGCAUUCAGACAUUGGGAAAACACAGAAAUCUCCCUCUAGGUCUAACAUGCAUUCAAAUAUAAAUGCUUACUUGUUUUUCUUUGGAGGUCUCUAGCUAGUUCAUGCAGUAACCUGCCUUUCAAACACACACACACACACACACACACACACACACACACAGAUUUUUCUGUCUUUAUCAAAAGCAAGAAUUCAUACCCUGCGAACUUGUCUCUCUCGUUAUAGUGCUUUUAAUGAGCGAUAUGCACAUUUAACCACCAAUUUUGAUCUUCUUUUUGCACAGUUAAUUCAAACAACCCACCUAUCCAUAACACAGCUACAGAUAUAACCAAUUUUCGAUCUAGUAGGUCUUUCUAAGGGAGAUAUAGUACUAAUUAAUAAAGGAAAAUUAUGACAUGUAGAAUGAGCUGACAAAUUACUUGUAUUGUCAACAGAAAAGGACAAAGCUAGACUGGUUAGCCUUUCUCUUAUUGUCAAUAGAAAAGGAAACACUCCCCCCUUUUUCAAAAAAAAAAAAAAAAAGGAAACACUUGGGAGUCUCUGUUCCCUGUUCUCUGUUCUUAGCAGCAGUACUUCUGAACAUGCAAGUCCAGUUAUCCUUGUAGGAUGUUUUGAUCUUUUUAGACCUCCCAAAGAAUCAUGUAUGGCAAUGAUCAUAGAUGCCUUUUUUUGUUUGUCCAGUUUACCUUAGGAAACAAGUACACACUAUAUAUUAUAUGCCUGCACUGGAAAAUUAGAUUCAAGAUGUCACAUAUGGUUAUGGGAGGGACCAUAUGCAAUUCAAAACUUAGGCGGGCACUUAAUAAUUUCUGCAAACUAGAAACAGAUCCAAGUAAAUUCGAUAUGGCAGAAAACAUAAACAUAUGUUUUAUGGCUACUAAAAAAACUACCAUUCAGUAGCUGAUGCAGCAGACUACAGAUGGACCAAAUCUCCCACGGGAUGAUAAAUUGAUAUUAUAUGCUUCAAUGUUUUAUCUUCCAUUUUUUUUUUGGUAAGCGUUGAAGGACUAAUUUAUUGUCCCUCACGAAAAUUUAUUUGAUAAAAAAAAGGUACAAGAAGCUGGCGGACUAGGCCAAUGCCAGCCAUAUAGUACAAAUAACCUCUUUUGUAAAUAAACAAGUAAUCACAUAAAAAAACAUCAAUAAACACAUGACAAAGACAUUAACAAAUACGAAAAUUCGGGAGACCAAGUGCAUCUCGCCGGCAAUGAUCAACGAUGGAAAGAAAGAGAAGGAACAUCCCACCAUGACAUGCCGGUCAAUGAUAUCCGACCAUGAUGCAGUAUCUACUACAAUGAAAAUCUGCUCUAGAUCUGCUACAAUUAGUGAAUGUAAAGGCAUCAAUAGAUAGACAUAGCUACUAGGCCAGUUGUGUGGUUCAGAACAUAAGUGAACUUCACUCCCCAAGGCCAAUAUCUUCUCUACCCAACAAAAAGUCAUAUGGGUACUAUUGAACAUACCAAACCUUCAUACAAGAUAACAUUACACGUGAUAUAAUAACAUGUAAAGCAUGCUAAAAUACUUACCAUAUCCAAUAACAAGCACCUUAGUGCAGUCCAUCUCCAUCUGUCUGUAUCUUACUGUCAUUUCAGUAGUCUGUUCCAGCGUCCGUUGAAUUGGUGGCCAGGUUGCAGCUGAAUGCUUACACUUGGUACAAGUAAGAAUCAGGUCUCACUCAGUACUACACUGAUUAGUAUUGAGUUUUACUGGUCCCAUUUUCAACUGGUGGUCGAUGCUCAAGUACUCUCACUAUUCACUAUAACAACGCUACAAAAUAUUGGUCCUAUAUUAAUUGCUACUUGAUCUUCAAUUUGUAUGUUUCGUGCAAUUAAUCACUUUUCCGACCAAUAAUUUAAUGUGUCUUAUAUUUGGGAAUAAUUGAAAAGCACAAAGAAGAGCCUGCUGCCAAGUGCCAACUUAGAGACAGCCAUUUCUGGACUUUACUUCAUUUGCAAGUCUUAGGAAAAAAUAAGUUAGGUACGCCCAACCCUUUCUGUGACCAAACAGAUUUUCAACUCCUGAAUAGGGGAUAAUUGCAUACCCCCAGCAAGGGUACGUACUUGCCACAAACUAAUUCUGAUAUUAUGAAUGUGAGGCAGAUAUGCUCUAGAAAACAUACAUAAUGCACCCCUUUUAUUACAAUGCUAAUGGAAGGAAGCAAAAAGGAAAACAGAUAUAGUGGCCACUAGUAACAGGUAUGAAAAUACACAAGGGAAAUGAAACAAGUCUAGCAGGCAGAGCUUUAUUUACUACGUGAUCGAAAGCACCCCAGUACCUUUCACUAUCAGCCUUCUGAGUGCAUGCUAGCAUUGGCAGAACGAGACCAGUAUUCCUUAACAAGCUGCCCGAAUAGUGAUCCCUCAUUGUUCAUCAGCUUCAUUGGCUCAUCAUACUCUACUACUUUGCCUGUCAGUGUAAAUUUAGAAAAUGAACACCUAACAUCAAAUCAAAUAAUAAAUAAACAAAAGAGUAUUCCGUUCAUGGUGGGCACUUACCAUCACUAAGAGCGAGAACCUUAGUGCAGUCCAUCACGGUGGGUAUCCUAUGUGCCACUGUUAUUACAGUGCAGUCUGCAAAUUCUGUUCUUAUAGUUUUUUGGAGAAAAGAGUCUGUUGCAUUGUCCAUUGAUGCUGUGGCUUCAUCAAGCACUAGAAUUCGGCUUUUCUUCAGUAAAGCACGCCCCAAGCAGAACAGUUGUCGUUGUCCCAUGCUCCAGUUUGUUCCGUCUUGCACAACUGCAUUACCAUCUUUUUAGAUGUGCUUUCAUUGACACCAAAAAGUGCUACUCGGUACAUAACUUCUUACCUAAAGAAUCCAGGCCCCCUUCUUCCUCUCCAAUGGCCUCCCGUAGCUGACAUUUCUCAAGAACCUUUUCACAAAUCAAUGAAAGAAAUGUAAGUUGCAGAAAGAAACUACUGAGUAUGAAAUGGAUUUACUUGGCUUGUUAAGGACUUGCAAAAGAAAAUACCAUAGCUAAACAUGGAAUUAACCAACCAAUACUAGAAUUGAUCAUAGACUCGUACUCGUUAACAAAAAAGAAGAAAAACAGACUAUUUGUUAUUAGACUGAAAUAAAUAAGCUUUACCUCCCAUAUUUCAUGAUCGGUAUGCUCUGCCAAGGGAUCGAGGUUGUAUCUCACAGACCCGCCAAACAAUGUCGGAUCUUGAGGGAUGAUCCCAAAACGUGAUCUUAAAUCAUAAAGGCCAAUUGUGCAUAUGUCAUAGCCAUCAACGAUGACCCUUCCCCCUGUAGGCUCUACCAGACGAAACAAAACACUGAUAAGAGUUGUCUUUCCACUUCCAGUCCGGCCAACAAUUCCAAUUUUGUGGCCUCCCUCAAUGAUGCAGUUUAUCCCAUGGAGAACCAAAGGAGAAUUUGGCCUAUAUCUUACCUGCAUAAUGUUUGAGUGUCAUGUACAAGUUUAAAUUAAUGUUCGUAGAGUAGUACUCUUUACUUCUUUAGCAUGUAUUGUUAUGCUAACCUCUAAGUCAUGUAUUUCCACUUUACCAACAAUAGGCCAAUUGUGUGCAGGUCGGUUGUCUUUUAUCACUUCUGCAGCUUCGCUAGGAAUGUGCAUGUAUUGUUCUACCCUUUCUACAGAAAUGAUUGAAUUUGCUAAAAAGCAAUGAAAUUGGACCAAAAGUACUAGAAAGAUAUUCAGUGAAAGGCCAUAUGAUAGUGUCAUCCCAAUAAAUCCUGUCGAAAGAUGAAAAAUGUUAGACGGGUAUGAAUAAAUGGUUAUGAGGCACAUGAUUCAACCAGAGCAGAAGCUACUAUAUACUAACCAGAUGAAGAAGCACCGGACUGAAUCGAAGUAAUGGCAAAUGCUGAGGCUGAGAGAACAAUAGCACAAAGCAAUUCUAGACGUUCAAUUAACCACUCGUUGGUUGAGAAGCUAUUGAAGUCAGCACUAGAAUUUGCAUCAAUGAAUUCUAAGUUUUUGGAGAAGAAUCUUUCCUCCUGUCCAAAAGCUCUGAUUGUCACUGCUCCAGCAAUAGAUUCUGAAAGGUGGCUUGCAAGUGCAGACUUAGUCGUGCCAUUCAUGCGCAUCAACUCUUUUGAAGAUGCAAAGUAGUAACUCUAUUUGUAGAAAAGACAACCAUAUUCAAGUAAAACUGCAAGGAAAUGACUGAAGUUCUAAAUAUUGUGGUUAUUUAGGUUGGUUUUAGUGCAGUACCUGAAGGCGAAAAGUAACAUAAACUGUAGGUACAAUCAGGAAUAGUAGUGGCCAAGUAAGAAAAACCAUGACUAAGAAUAUGCUAAAUGUGUUCAGAGUUGCUCCAACAGCUACUGUUAACCUUAGCGCUACUUCAAGGUCGAUGAUAUUCAUAUCAGUAGAUACCUGAAAAGAUUGGCAAAUGCAAAUAUAAGAAACCUCCAUUUGGUUGCUGUAACAACAGAUACUUGAAGAGCAGAUUAUUUAAGCUAUAAUUGGACACUGUUAUAUCUUACCCGACUAAGUAUCCUCCCCAAAGGUGUUGAAUCAUAAAACAGCAUUGGUGCUCGGAAAAGGGAGUUCAGUAGGGUGGAGAAAAUGGAUUCUGAUGCUCCACAUCCUAAAUCGACAAUCCUAAAAGAUCGAAGAAGCAUACAGAAGGCCAUAAUACAAAAGAUCACAGAGUAAACUGUGAAGAGUUUGACCCUGGAAAUGCUGUAAUCCUGAAGAUUCAAAGCCAACCAAAAGUUUUGAAGUAACUGCCCAACUAUGAAUAGAAACAAGAAAACAACUGAUAAAGAGAAGUGCAAGAAUCCCUUGCCAUGCUUCAAAUACUGAAUGCAUGGCUUGAACCCAGUGUCUCCUGUUUCUCUCUCUUCUUUCUUAAUCAAUUGAUCUCCCGAAAAUUCUAUAAGUUGUACGUCAGUUCUAACAUUCUCAAUCUCCUCUGCAGACGAUUUAUGUUUUCUAGUGGAGGCAUAUUCAACUUGCCUCUGGGAACCAAAAUUCUUAUUGUGUGCAUUAACAGGUUCUCGAAAUUCUUGACAAAAAGCCAGCAACUCUUCGUAAGGAGCUGCUCCUGAAAUCGUCCCUGAAGACAUCAACUGUGACAAAAAGACAGUACACUACAUCACCUGUACUUACUGUACAUGCAUAUCAUUGAAUGGAAACUUUUUACAUGUACUAAAACCAACAAAGCUAAAAUACUAUUAAAACAAAGACAAAAGAACAUUAAUGAAUAGAACAACUGAGACAUUAGAAGAACUUAUACCAAUAUUGAAUCAAAAGAUUGAAGGAAGUCGACUUGGUGUGUCACAAGCAACACUGUCUUCUCUGCCAGAGCACCCAUGACAUAGUCCUGGAAAACUUUCACAUCAGAUUCCAAAGCACACAAAAAUGAUUACUAUUUACUACUUGAAAGAUAUAAUUACAUUAAAUAGGCUUGUGGCUGUAUGGGCAUCAACCGCACUGAAUGGAUCAUCCAAGAGGUAGACAUCUGCAUUUUGAUACAAUGCACGUGCCAGUUGGAUGCGUUGCUUCUGGCCACCACUUAGAUUGACACCUCUUUCUCCUAUCUGAGUGAGAUCUCGGAAUGGAAGUAUAUCUAAGUCCUUUACAAGAGAACACUUCCUAAGAGUUUCAUGGUAUCUAACAUGAUCCAUGGGAGUCCCAAACAGAAUAUUAUCUUGUAUAGUUCCUGUUUCAAUCCAAGCAGACUGAGAAACAUAUGCUAUCGUGCCAUAUACUUGAACCUGUAAAUUUGUGCAGUCACAAGAUGUAACUAGUAAGACUUCAAAUUUGUAGUAGUUAUAUAUAUAUAUAUAUAUAUAUAUAUAAUUGAAAUGAAUGCUUACAAUGCCAGUGAUAUGUGGAACUUCUCCAAGAAUAGCAGCCAAAAGAGUUGAUUUUCCUGAGCCAACCUCUCCACAAAUAGCUACUUUUUCUCCUUGUUUCACCACUAAAUCUAUGUUCCUCAAUGUAGGCUUUGUAGGACUAGUAUCCCAUGAAAUUUCUGAAGAUCUAAUGAAAAUGGAAUGUUCAACCUCCUUGCCACUGCUCACUUUCCUUGUAUGUCUGUUCUCCAACUCUGGUGCAUCAAGGAACUUCACAAUCUGAGAGAAGGACACCUGUGCUUCAAUGAAUGCUCCCAAAACAUCUGGGAUAAACCUUAUUGGCUCCUGAAGAAUACGCAAAGUUGCUAAAAAAGUGAAGACAUUACUUGGAGAGAGUGCAAAUCCAAGCAAGUAGCAUGUCCAAAAGGUGACAGCUGCUGCCAAAACAGGUGCUGUCCAGAAUAAAGCAUUACAAUAACCCUUUUGUGAGACUACUUUAGAUAUCCAUUUGAGUUCUUCUACUCUAAGCUCUUCUAUGACCUUCUUGAAAUUUUUCUCCCAAGAAUACAGCUUCAAGAUCUUCAUAUUUGAUAGUGCUUCCGUCAUGGCCUUCAGCCUCUUCUUUUGUGCAAUCAUGAACUUUGUUUGAUAUUCAUGCUGCAACUUUGCCAAUGGAGAGCUUACCACCACAGUCAAUAUGAGAGCAGUUACAGCUGCAACUGUUGCUGCCCCAACAGCGAAGUAAAUAAUAAUCAAAGAGAGACACAACUGGAGGGUUGUGGACCAAAUCUGAUGCAACCAGAAUGGAAAUUCACCAACCCUGUAAGCAUCCACUGUUACAUAAUUCACCAUCUCACCAGGAGAAUGAGUCAUCUUGGCAGCAUUUGAGAGUCUUAGUUGCUUCUGAUAAACUUCUGCAGAUAUCAAUGAUCUUAUCUGGAGUCCAAUAAGUCUAGUUCUAAAGAACCAUUGCCUCUCCGACAGUGACUCCACAAUUUUCACAAAGAACAGACCAGCGGUCAGUGCAUAAACCUCAUAUCUAGAAGCUGCAUUGGCAUCAACAACCUUGAUGAAAGCUAUGAGAAACAGUGGGGAGACAGUCAUUGCGAGAAUCUUGAGGAGUGCAAAGAACCCUGAAACCAAAAUUGCUUUCCACUGGCAGAAAAAAAUUAUGGUCAGAACAGAAGGGUCACCACUGGAUGGAUGUCUUUCCUUUCUUUUCUGCAAUUGCUCCCUAAAUAUUGAGUGCAACGUUCUUGCUCGAUCAGCUUCUCGCAAUUGUGGAAUAUCUUCAUUCUCAAGAAUCUUUUCCUUACCUUUCUUCAUCAAUGGAUUCAACCACCAGAAUGUCAUUUUACUGAACAAUCCAGCCUUCGCAAAAGGAGUCACAUUGUCAUCUGAACUGAUUGCACCUGUGAUUUUCGGUUCUUCACCAGGCAAAGGUGUGUAGAAUGCAUCACCAUAAUGGACUUCCAGAUCACCUUGUGCGCAACUGUUUCCCUCAGAUGCAGUAAAGAGCAAGAGAAUUGAUCCAGGGAAACAAAGAAUGUUCAAAACAAUAUUAACUGAUACUUCCUCAUCUAGUGCACAUUCCCAAGUAGCAGAACCACAAACAAACAAUGCAAUUAAGAAACUAAAAAUCGCAAAGAAUUUCAUUAUCGUGGCAUGUGGACUAUGCGGUUUCUUGAGGUUUAAGGUAAGUCCCACACCUAACCAUGUAAACCCUUGAGAAAAAUAUACUAACCACCCGUGUACAGGUAAAACCAUGCGAUCUGUAUUUACUUUCUCAAUCAUUGUCCAUAUUCCAAACCCCAGGUAGGCCAAAGCCAAGCCAGCAUUGAAACUGACUGAGACAAUUGACACUGGAGAGAAGGUGUGAGGCUGCUAUAAUCUUCUUUGAUGCUAUUGUAAGAAUGAGAUAACAUAACAAGAUGAUUAGGAGCAUCAUAUCAAUUGCAAUAACGACAAUAUUGUGUAUACAUGAAUUCGGAUUGAUGAUGGCUAGAACGCGAGAACUGCAUUCAUUUCCAGACUCAGUUGAACACUCAUAACUAUUGCACAAUAAGGUCCAGAAACCCUCCAUGUUGUGCCCCAGAGAUCUGGAAAGUCUGCACAAUUUUAAAGAGAAUAUGAGACAGGAAAAGGAUAUAAAUCUUACACUGUUGACUGUUCUAAGCAGACUGCUAGCUGGUGGUAUAGUCAAUAGAAGUUGAGAACAAAAGGGAUAUACAUGGAUAUACAUACAUAUAUAUAGCCCUUCUCAACUGUGGACGUCCGCACCAAUGGUUUUGAUGCUGAUUUUCAUUUUUACACCACUUUUCGAUCGAAUUUCCUUAUCUCCACCGUUUAGUAUCUAGAUAAUAUUAUGUAGAUCAUCUCUGCAAAAUUUCAGCCAAUUUGGUAAUCGUUAAGGCCCUCAAAAUUGCGUCUUUCUGUUACAAUCAUGUUUGACAGAAUUCAGUCCGUCCAUUUGUUUUUCGAGUUUGAGUGCCUUAACGAUUANNNNNNNNNNNNNNNNNNNNNNNNNNNNNNNNNNNNNNNNNNNNNNNNNNNNNNNNNNNNNNNNNNNNNNNNNNNNNNNNNNNNNNNNNNNNNNNNNNNNNNNNNNNNNNNNNNNNNNNNNNNNNNNNNNNNNNNNNNNNNNNNNNNNNNNNNNNNNNNNNNNNNNNNNNNNNNNNNNNNNNNNNNNNNNNNNNNNNNNNNNNNNNNNNNNNNNNNNNNNNNNNNNNNNNNNNNNNNNNNNNNNNNNNNAAAAAUCCGCACCAAAACUAUUGGUGCGGACGUCCGCAGCUGAGAAAAAUACCCAUAUAUAUAUAUAUAUAUAUAUACAUACACAGUUCCCUUCCAGAGUGAGACACCGCUCUGAAAUUAAAGUGUGGCGCUCCUCAUUUUGCUCACUUUUAGGUCACAUUUUCACAGUUCAGUGUCUAGAACAUAGUGUAUAGAUCAUUCCUGCAAAGUUACAUCCAAUUUAGACAUCAUUUGGGUACCGAGUUAGAUUAAAUGAAUCAACUGAACAAAACAUGUCCAAAUAGAACUGUUUGUGUAAAUCAUAAUUACGGAAGCUCAAAUGAUCUCCAAAUUGGACGAAACAUUGCAGGAAUGAUCUAUAUACUAUGUUCUAAACACUGGACGGUGGAGAUGUGAAAAUGUGACAUAAAAGUGAGCGAAAUGAGGAGCACCACAUUUUAAUUUCAGAGCGGUGUCCCACUCUAGAAGAGGAACUGUAUACAUACACUAAGGGAUCCGUUUUUUGACAUAUAUGAGGGAUGAGAGAUUAUACCAACUUUUCGAUAAUAUUUUUGAAUCUCCACCGUUCAGUUUGUUGGUCCUUAUAUACAGAUCAAUUUUAUAAAUUUUCAGCCAAUUUGAUGAUCAUUAAGGUGUCAAACAAAAUUGAAUCAACGAAUGAAUCAAAUACGCCAAACCUGAACCGUUCAUGCUUAUAGUUAUAAAUCAUAGUUUUGAAUGCCUUAAUGAUCAUCAAAAUUUCUAAAAAUUUGCAUAAGUGAUCUAUUCAUAUAGAACUACAUAUUGAAUGGUGGAGAUGUGAUUUUGUGAUCGAAAAGUUGAUGUAAUCCCCUCUCCCUCGUGUAUAUAAAAAAAAAAGAUCCUUUAAUGGCAUGGUCCCGUAUGUGUGUGUAUAUAUUCCAAGUCAUGUCAACUGACAUAUAUACAUAAAUUCACAGGUGUAUAGGCAAAUACCUCCUUCCUUUUCACGGAUUCCAAAAAAUAUUGUGUUGGGUAAGUAUAUAUGAAGUGAUUAUGAUGUUAGAAUUUCAAACCAAACAUACAAGUACAAGUUGGAAACCUAUGCAUCGGAUGUAUUAAACAUAAGAUUGCAGUGUUAUAUAACUCGAGAAACAUGCAUUGAAACAUUAAAAGAAACACAGAAAUCUCACUACAGGUCAAACACGCAUUCAAAACUAAGUGCUUACAUGUUCUUCUUCAGAGAUCUCUGGCUAGCUCAUGCAGUACACAUGUCUUCGAAUACAACGCAUUUUAUUGUUAUCAAAAGGCUACUAUUUAUAGCUGGGAUGCUGGAACAACUUGUCUCUAUUCUCAUUAAUGUCUUUGAUGAGUGAUCGACAAACGACAAAUGCGUUUGAUCUCAAUAUUAUUUUUCGGUCAGAUCUGCACAUUAUUGAGCUGUUACAAUAAUGGAAUGUAUGGGUGGUCAUCAAUAUACGUAGUUUGCUGCUAGGCCGGUUGUAUGAUUCAGAAAGUUCACUCCCCAAAGCCAAUGUUCUCUUCCCAACAAGAUGUCAUAUAGUUCUUAAUAACUUCAUCCAAAUAUGUAAAGAUGCUAAAAGAUAUAUGUAACAUCUCCUAUCAAACAUCAACUACCGUAAUUACUGUGCAGUCAAUCUGCAAAUUCUCUUAAGGAAAAUGCAUGCUCGGUUGAUUCAGUGGAGCAGAGAAUCUCUAAGCAUCAUGAACUUUGUAGUUUUAUACAAAACAAUUAAGAGACAACAGCUUGUGGCACGCCAUAUAUGUAGCAUACAAUUCAUGUGAAACAGUUCAAUGAUUAGAGAGUUAAACUAGCUAGAUGACUGCACUAUUGCAGAUUAGUUUGUAACUUUGUGUACAUAAACUCAUAUUACCUUGUACAAUGCAUUUUUCACAUUAGUCCAGCUACUAAAUGAUUAAAGAUCAGGCAGCUCCUCCUGUAAAACAAGAAAAAUCCCCUAUUUCUUGCCAAUGUCUGUUCUUAUAUCAACAUAAUAUUUCAAUUCUACAGCUUUCUCAGUAUCAUUUACCAAGGUACUGGCUCUUAGAAAUUUCAUGCAGCUCGAUCUUUCACACAUUUUUUAGUCAAUGGACAACGUAUAACUGGGUUUUGAUGAAUCAUAUUUAGACCGAAUAUAUAUAUAUAUAGAACUUUUCUCAGGUGCAGACGUCCGCACCGUUUUACAUUGUGGAUUUUCGUCUGUUCGUCACCGUACGACGCUGGCGAGGGCGCGCCUCCACCCCAGCCGACUCCAGCAGCUUCCCCGACCACUUUCCAUCCCCGGUGAGUCCGCCGAAUUCUAGUUUUCCGGCUAAAUCAUCCAAAACUUCAAAUAAAGUNNNNNNNNNNNNNNNNNNNNAUUCGGCGGACUCGCCGAGGAUGGAAAGUGGUUGGGGAAGCUGCUGGAGUCCGCUGGGGUGGAGGCGCGCCCUCGCGCGGCGCUGUACGGUGGCGAACGGAUGAAAAUCCGCACCGUUAUAUAUAUACAUAAAACGACUAUAUAUAUAUAUAUACACAGCCCGGAUGUGAAGCGAACGUCCGCACUCCGGCUUAGAGUGCAGACUUCGUCCGUUCUCCGCCGUCUCACGCCGGCGACGGCUUGUCUCCUUCCCGGACUACAGCACAUGCUUCCAAGACGACUUCUCUCCUUCCAAGACUGGCCGACGACAAGUUUUCCGGCCAAUCUUGAUCAAUCAUGGUGUUUUCCGUCCAGAACUUCAAUCCGGCCAGAAAACUUGUCGCCAGCCAGUCCUGGAAGGAGAGAAACAGUCCUGGAAGCCUGUGCUCUCAUCCGGGAAGGAGAGAAUCCGUCGCCGGCGUGAGACGGCGGAGAACGGACGACUUCUGCACUUUAAGCCGGAGUGCAGACGUCCGUUUCACAUCCAUCCUCUAUAUAUAUAUAUAUAUUCUAUGAAUAUAUAAUGCCAAAACAUUAUAUAAACAGUAGAUAAAAGGAAAAUAUAUAAAUGACUCCACACCCACCAAGUACCUACUCAUGUUAAUUUGGAUAGAGUGAGUAAAAGUUAUUAAACAUAUCUGGUAACUGAAAAUAGUGCAUGAUAAGGCAGAGUUCUGUCUGGACAGUACUCCCAGCAGUUCUGCAGAAACCAAAAUGAAGAUUUUGAAUUAAAGUGAGAAAUUACCCAAAGAUCUAAUGAAAGUGAAGAUUUAUAGUUAUCUGUUGUACCAAACAAACAAACAAUUUUUUUGCCAAAACGAAGAAACAAAAAAACAAUUUUGACAGCAAUUUACGUUUUUUUUUUCAUUUACAUAAUACACAGAUCACUAGAAAACAUGAAUAAAUAUUUUUUUUCUUUUUGUAGGUGAGGAGAUCCUUGCAUUGAAUUUACACCAUUCCUUUUUGAAUUAAGAAAACAUAUAUAAAUUGAACAUACUCCAAUCAUGAACCAACGAAUUGUCAAUAUAAGAAAUACUUUAGUGAUACUGAUAUUUAUGCACACACUUUGGACACAAAACGUGAGUUAUAUCAAAAGUAUAUGGAUGUGAAUCUAUCAAUAAGGAAAGAAGACCCCAUAUCACUGGCCAGAUUGCUGGUCAUGUCGAGUGGGUGUUCAAUUAGUUAAGAGCUUACGCAGAAAAUUGUGGUCCUAAUAAAUAACAUGAUUGCCAAAAAAAUCUUCCAUUUAACAUUGACAGCAAUCAAACAAUCAGGAUCAUUCAAUACGACGGUAUGAACAUGAUACCAAGGCAAACCCAUGGAACCAUGUGUUCCAUAUGCACUAAUGCAAUAUCAAUAACUGAAAGAGACUCAACAAUCCAAGUAACCAACAGUUCUUCAACUCAAGAAGACAAUAGAUAGCUAGCAGUAACGGGGAGAAAUGCCACAAGAAUGAUAUUAUGCAAGUUAAACAAUCACUAAACUUCAGAAGGUAUAAAAGAUCAAAUUGUUGGAGAAUGAUCAGCAUAAUAUCAAGAAAUCAGUUGAGACAUGGUGGCGUACAUAAGUACAGUCCUUAACUCUCGUUGCGCGAUUGGAAAGAAUUUCACAAUGCAAAAAUGAUGCUGCUUCUAGGGGCUUAACCAACUACUAUUUUGGCUGAUAAAUCGAUACAUAGUUGUAGCAGAAAAGGUAGCUGAACUUACAUAUAUUGUUGCAUUUUCUAUUAGAUGACAGUAAGAACAGAUUUUAGGAACAUACAAUACAUGGAGUAACAAGAAUCGUGGACAAGAAUUGAAGUAGAUCCCUAGCCCUGUCAAUCAUAUUUAUUGUGAAUACAACAAUUCCAUAUGUAAAAGUCGCAUCAUGGGCAACGUAGAAUGAAAGAAACACGCUGAAUUAUUGAAUGAUUGAAUGUAGAGUAAUAUGAUAAUUUUACACAUAUAUCAGGGCAUAACAGAUUCAGAAGCGUUGAACUCAUCAUUUUAGACUGAGUUCAAAUUAGGCCAAAGCUUGUUUCACCUUUUGUUGCUCAGCAAAACAAGAGGCUUGUAGGUGAGAAUGCGUUUGUUAACUUGAAUCACAAGAAAGAAUGAAAGAUUGAUACUGAGAUAUAACGUACAGCCUAGCUAGCUCACAGGUAUGGGUGGAGAGGCCGGUGGUCAGUACGUUCAAGCAUGCCAUCUUCGUUGAAGGCCCAGGCUUUAAAUGAUCUGGGUCCUUUUUGAGAAAGAGACAGAUAUGGUUCGCUAGCUAGCUCGGCCUGACCAUAUUAGAAAGACAAGAGACAACUAACAAUGUCACUAGUGCAUACAUCACACAUGCAUAUACACCCUGAAGCUAUACAUAUCUAACAAGAUCACGUACCAUAUUCAGUACUGAGGAUCCAAAGCAGCAAUAUUACUUUUUCUAAAUUCAUUUUCGGUUCCAGAAGAAAACUCUUGCCAUAUUUUCAUCUGCACAGAAGAGUAAAAACGAUAGUAAAGUUGAUCGAGAACCCUAAAAAUGGUAAGGAUCGAAAUGUACUCUGAAAGAGGUGGUCAUCGCUAUCGAUAUCAGAUUCAUGAUCAUUCGAUGCGUUAGGGUUUCGGUAGUCCAUGGCUGCCUGGGUCUGCUGGACUACGUUCAUCACUUGACGCUUAGUAUUCAGAGUUCUUGUUCCUGAUGGAUCGCCUUCUUUGUUAGCCGGAAACUAUAAAGUUGAACUUGGGCUUCUAGUGGCAGAAACCAAUUGUGGGCUGGCCCAACGAAUUGCGACUUCCAUUUCAUUUUCAUAUUUUCGAUAAACUUUUUCUCUCUUUUUGAGUGAAAAUCAAUCACUUCGGAUGUAUCUCUCCUCAAUUCUAGUUUGCCAAAGGCCAACUUGCCAAGUCCAGUAGUUAAAUCACUUAAAUGGUGUAAAUGGAGUGUGGUAUUAUUCCUAUUUAAACUUGUGAAGGGUUUUACAAGGCCGUUAUUUAUUAUUUGAUGUAGUUCUUUUGCUCUUGAAUGAAUCAUUUUUUAGGUAACAAAAUUUUCUUUUCGUGUUAUUUUAAAAAAGGCCGAGGAAAAUUUUUUAAUGAUAUGAACAGAAAGAAAAAUGAGCAAUGUAUGAUCAAACUCAUGAAGAAGCAACUUUCAUGAACUGUGUUGGAAUAAGUUCUCAUCACCAAACUCACAAAAUAGUGAUAAUAACCUUGAUCAAUGACAAUGCUAAUGGAACUAUGGGAAGAAAUAUGAAACAACUAGCAUGCAUAGCUGUACUACACGAUGAAAGACCAAAAUCAAAUCAACCUAUCAAUUAUCUGAGUGCAUGCUACUGGCUAGCAUUGGCAGAACGAGACCAAUAUUCCUUCACAAGCUUCCCGAAUAGUGAUCCCUCAUUGUUCAUCAGCUUAAUUGGCUCAUCAUACUCUACUACUUUGCCUGUCAAUAAUGUAAAUUUAGAAACUGAACACCUAAAUCAAAUAUCAUACAUAAGAAACAUAAUUUUUGUUUAGUGCAUCGUUCUUUGGCGCUUACCGUCGCUAAGAGCAAGCACCUUAGUGCAGUCCAUCACGGUUGGUAUCCUAUGUGCCACUGUUAUUACAGUGCAGUCUGCAAAUUCUGCUCUUAUAGUUUUCUGCAGAAUAGAAUCUGUUGCGUUGUCCAUCGAUGCAGUAGCUUCAUCCAGCACUAGUAUUCGGCUCCUCUUCAAUAAAGCGCGCCCCAAGCAGAACAGCUGCCGCUGUCCCAUGCUCCAGUUUGUUCCAUCUUCCACAACUGCAACACCAUUUCUUAGUACACACUACUAGUCUACUAGCCAGAUCAUGAAUUGAUCAACAGCUACUUACCUAAAGAAUCCAGGCCCUCUUCUUUAUCUCUGAUGGCCACUCCUAACUGACAUUUCUCAAGAACCUUUUGACACAGAAUUUUUUUUAGUACAUAUGAAAUAUACUCCUGAGACCUGACUUGUAAAUACAUAAUGCUUGAACAUUUUCAAAAGCUGAUAUAUAUAUAUAUAUAUAUAUAUAUAUAUAUAUAUUGUAGCUAGCUAUUACUAACCAUCCUACAAGUAAUAAUCUCCUUAUAACAACCAUCACAAACAAGGAAAGAUGAUUUGUUUCCUUGAUAACUGAAAAUAAAAGCUUUACCUCCCAUAAUUCAUCAUCGGUAUGCUCUGAUAAGGGGUCAAGAUUGAAUCUGACAGAUCCACUGAAUAAUGUUGGAUCUUGAGGUAUGAUCCCAAGACGUGAUCUCAAAUCAUGAAGGCCAAUUGUACAAAUGUCAUAGCCAUCUACAAUGAUCUUGCCCUCUGCAGGCUCUACCAAACGAAACAAAACACUGAUAAGAGUUGUCUUUCCACUUCCAGUCCGGCCAACUAUUCCAAUUUUGUCGCCUCCCUCAAUGAAGCAAUUUAUCCCAUGGAGAACCAAAGGAGCAUUUGGCCUAUAUCUUACCUGUACAAGUCACUAAAUGUUAUGUGCAAGUUUCAGCAUGCACUUAGAGUAGAAUUUUUAGCUUAUAUAUUCAUCAUGCUCACCUUUAAGUCAUAUAUUUCCACUUUGCCAAUAAUAGGCCAAUUGUGUGGAGGUCGGUUUUCCUCUAUUACUUCUGGAGCUUCACUGGGAAUGUGCAUGUAUUGUUCUACCCUUUCUACAGAAAUGAUUGAAUUUUCUAGCAUGCACUGAAACUGGACUGAAAUUACUAGGAAUACAUUUAAUGAAAGGCCAUAUGAUAGUGUCAUCCCAACAAAUCCUGUCAAGAACAGAUGAUUACUAUGAAUAUGAUUCAAUCUCAGGAAAAAAAUGGAUGGUGGAAGGCAAUGUAUACUAACCAGAGGAAGAAGCACCAAAUUGAGUCAAAGUAAUGGCAAGUGUCGAGGCUGAGAGAACAAUGGCGCAAAGCAGUUCUAGACGUCCAAUCAACCAUUCAUUUGUUGAAAAACUAUUAAAGUCAGCACUAGAAUUUGCAUCAAUGAGUUCCAAGUUUUUGGAGAAAAAUCUUUCCUCCUCUCCAAAAGCUCUGAUUGUCACUGCUCCAGCAAUAGAUUCAGAAAUAUGGCUUGCAAGUGCAGACUUAGUCGUGCCAUUCAUUCGCAUCAACUCCUUUGCAGACGCAUAGUAGUAUCUCUAUUUGUCAAAAAGAAAACCAAUUAUAAAGUAAACAGUGAGCAAGGAAAUCAUUGAAGUGCAAAUGCUGUGGUAGUUAAGGCUGGUUUAGUGUAGUACCUGAAAGCGGUAGGUAGCAUAAAGUGUCGGUAUAAUCAGAAACACGAGUGGCCAAGUAAGAUAAAUCAUUACUAGUAAGAUGCUAUAGGCGUUCAUAGUUGUCCCAACAGCUACUGAUAGCUUCAAAGCUACUUCAAGGUCGAUGAUAUUCAUAUCUAGUGAUACCUGUACAGAAAGGCAAUAUAAGACAUGAGCAAAUUCCAGUAGGUUGAUGUAAAGUGAAACCAGAUCAUUUAAUCUAUGUUGUGAAACCUUCAAAAGCUUACUCGACUGAGUAUCCUCCCCAAAGGUGUUGAAUCAUAAAACAGCAUUGGUGCUCGAAAAAGGGAGUUCAAUAGUGUACAGAAAAUGGAUCUUGAUGCUCCACAUCCUAAAUGGACUACCUUAAAACAGCGAAGAAGCAGACAGAAUGACAUGAAACACAUGAUCCCCGAAUAAACUCCGUAGAGUUCAACUCUUGACACCUUAUAAUUCUGAAGAUUCGAAGCCAACCAAUAAGCCUGUAUUAACUGCCCCAGUAUGAAUAUCACGUGGAAAACGAUUGAUGAGGAGAAGUCAAAGAAUCCCUUGCUAUGCUUCAAAUACUGAAUGUAUGGCUUGAAACCAAUGUCUCCUAUUUCUUUCUCUUCUUGUUUAAUCAAUUGAUCUCCUGAAGAUUCCUCCAACUGUGCCUGAGUGUCAACCUUUUCAAUCUCCUCAGUAAGCAAUUUAUGUUUGCUAGUAGCAGCAUAUUCAACUUGCCACUCAGAACCAGCAGUGUCAUUAUGUGCAUUGACAAGGUCUUGGAACUCUUGACAAGAGGCUAGUAACUCUUCAUAAGGCGCUGCUCUUAUAAUUUUCCCUGAAGACAUCAACUAUGAACAAAAAAGUAUACAUUACCUAAAGUGAUUGCUUGAAAAAUGACAUUUAGCAGGCAGAUCAUCCGAAACUAAAAGGGUCUUCAAAGUAAAUGGGUUGAAGAUAAUCGACCUAAAUUAGACAAAAGAUGUUCAACAGAAACUCUGGAGAAAUAGCAGUUCUGUAGUUACCAAAAUAGAACUAAAUCCUGGAAGGAAGUCGACCUGAUGUGUUACAAGCAACACUGUCUUCUUUGCCAGAGCUCCCAUGACAUAAUCCUGAAAACUCUCAUAUUAGAUAAAAAUGCAGUUUACAAAAAUGGACAGUAUCAUGAUUGGUCAGAAAGUUACAAGUACAAGUAAUAAGUACAUUGAAUAGGCUGCUUGCAGUAUGAGCAUCAACUGCACUGAAAGGGUCAUCCAAGAGAUAGAUAUCAGCAUUUUGAUAGAGGGCACGCGCAAGUUGAAUGCGCUGCUUUUGUCCACCACUUAGAUUUACACCUCUUUCUCCUAUUUGAGUGAGAUCUCCAAAUGGAAGGACCUCUAGAUCCUUCACUAACGAACACUUAUUAAGCGUCUCUUGGUACCUGACACGAUCCAUGGUGGAUCCAAACAGAAUAUUUUCUUGUAUACUUCCUGUUUGAAUCCAUGCUGAUUGAGAAACAUAUGCUAUUUUCCCAUGCACUUGAACCUGUAAAAGUUAGGCAGUCAGAACUUUAUUACGACUUCCGCAUUUAUAGAAACUCAACAGAGAACUUCCUACUUAAAAAGGAUAUAUACUUACAAUGCCAUUGAUCAGCGGAACUUCUCCUAGAAUUGCAGCUAAAAGGGUUGAUUUACCGGAGCCAACCUCUCCACAAAGAGCUACUUUUUCUCCAGGUUCAACCACCAAAUUCAGGUUCCUUAAUGUGGCCUUAGUUGCACCAGUGUCCCAUGAAAUUUCAGAGGCUCUAAUGAAAAUGGAAUGCUCAGCCUCUAUUCCAGUACUCUCUUUCCUUGUAUCCUUGUUUUCCAAUUCUUGUGCAUCAAGGAACUUAACAAUGCGCGAGAAUGAAACCCUCGCUUCAAUAAAUGAUCCAAAAAUAUCAGGGAGGAGCCUAAUUGGCUCCUGAACUAUACGCAAAGUUGCUAGAAAUGUGAAAACAUUACUAGCAGUGAGUGUAAAUCCCAGGAAGUAGCAUGUCCAAAAGGUAACGGCUGAUACCAAAAUAGGAGAUGACCAGAACAAAGUGAUAAAAUACCCCCUUCGUAACAGAACUUUAUUUAUCCAUUUGAAUUCUUCUGCUCUUAAACCUUCUAUGACUUUCUUGAAAUUUGUCUCCCAAGAAUACAGCUUCAAGAUCUUCAUAUUUGAAAGUGCUUCGGCUAUGGCCUUCAGCCUCUUAUUUUGAGCUGCCAUGAACCUUGUUUGAUGCAGAUGCUGCAUCUGGACCAAUGGAGAGCUUGCCAGCGCAAUCAAUAUGAGUGUAAUUAGAGCUGCAAGAGUUGCUAUUCCAACAGAGAAGUAAACAAUAAUCAAAGACAGACACAGCUGAAGGCUUGUAGACCAUAUCUGAUGAAACCAAUAUGGAAAGUCACCGACUUUGUAAGCAUCCACGCUCACAUAAUUCACUAUCUCACCAGGAGAAUGACUCAUCUUGGCAGCAGUUGAGAGUCUUAGUUGCUUCUGAUAUAUUGCUGCUGAUAUCAAUGAUCUUACCUGGAGACCAAUAAGUCUAGUUCUGAAGAACCAUUGCCUCUCCGACAAUGACUCCAGAACUUUAACCACAAACAGACCAGCUGUCAGUGCAUAACCUUCACCUUCAAAAGCUGUUUCUCCUUCAACGACACUAAUGAAGGCCAUCAGAAAUAGAGGACCGCUGGUAAGUGUGAGAACCUUGAUGAGCGCAAAUAUACCAGAAAUUAUUAUAGGUUUCCUCUGGCAGAAAAAAAUUGUGGACAAAAUAGAAGGGUCAUCAUCACAUGAACCGCUUUCCUUCCUUUUGUGCAUUUGCUCCCUAAACAUCAAAUACAAUGUUCGUGCUUGAUCAGCUUGUCGCAGAUGUGGGAUAUCUUCAUUCUCAAGAAUCUUUCCCCUUCCUUUUUUCAUUAAUGGAUUCAACCACCAAAAUGACAUUACACUAAACAAACCAGCUUUAGCAAACGGAGUAACGUUUUCAUUUGAUGUGAUAUUACCAGCAAUAUCCGAUUCUGUACUCAGUAAAGGUGUGUCCAAAGCAUCAUCUUGUGCAUCAUCUUUAGCAACAUUGCUUCCCUCAAAUGCACUAAAAAGCAAGAGAAGUGAUCCAGGCAAACAAAGAAUGUUCAAAACAAUCACUGCUUCAUUAAGAACAGCUUCCCAAAUUGAUGAACCACAAAGAAAAACUGCAACGAAAAAGCCAAAAAUUGAAAGAAAUUUUGAUAUUGCAGUGUGGGGAGUGUGUGGCUUCUUCAGGUUUAUAGUUAGUCCCAGCACCAACCAAGUAAACCCCUGAAAGAAAAACACAAUCCAUCCAUGUAGAGGUAAAAAACUCUGAUCUGUAUUUACUUUCUCAACCGUUUUCCAUAUCGCAGAACCCAAGUAGGCCAAACCCAAACAGGCAUUGAAAGUGGCCGAAACAAUUGACACAGUAGACAAGGUGUACGACUGUGAUGAUGCUAUAACCUUCUUUGAUAAUGUUCUAUAAAUGAAGAUACAAAACAAGACGAAUAGAAGCAAGAUAUCAACCGCAACGACCACAAUAUUGUUGAUACAUGAAUCUGGAUCGAUAAUAGCUGCAAUGUUGGAACCGCAAUCACUUCUGGACUCAGUUGAACAAUCACAGAACAAGAUCCAGAAACCUUCCGCCAUGAUGUGUAUCAGCUAUACAUGUACAAAGUCUGCACAAUUACAAGAAAGAAGAAUUUGUAUCUGAAAAUACAUAAAGGAACUGCAUCUGAAAUCCAUGGUUUUUAGUAUAGGAGUUGAGAUCCAACAACAGAAAAUAAUCAUAAUAUAGAGAGAAAUAGAUACCAACAUAGAUACUUAAGCACAUGGUUAUAUAGCUGAGUACCUUCCUCUUCACAAAUUGAAGUGGAUAUGACGCUUUCACCCAAGUUGGAAAGGAUAGCAUCCAUUAAACCAAACAUAAAAUCUGCUGGAAAAAACCCAGAAAAUCUUACUUAAACCCCACAAAGAGCAGUGUCCAACUUUCUUUUGAAUCCAUGCAUAACAUAGAUCAUAGAAUAGUCUCAGAGCCUCAAUUACGUGCAUAUAAAUCACUUCGUAACAUCAAUCCCAGGUUUCUCAUUAACUCUUGGACCUCGAGUUUCACGCCCUACUGUACGUAAAUCAAUUUUAAACCCCAUAUAGAAGACCAUCUCACUGAGAAAAAAAAUAAAAAAUAUUUAUAGAAGACUAUACCUAUAUAUAAUCAUGGAGCUAAAAUGCAUACAAAAAUAUUAGAAUGAGUUGAAUAAUGCAAUUUGGAUCUUUGUUAAUUAAUAUUCUGCACCUAACGGCGUCUUUGUCCCUGCUAGCUGUCCUUUCAUGCAUUCAUGACUUUGCAGCCUAGCAGCGCUAGCUCCAAAGACGGGGUAGUUUUAUGCAUGAGAUCAGUGAAAUAGUUAUAAUUGGAUAUAAUAGUUGUGUGGUUCGACUUGGUCAAUCAGGCCUCGCAUGUAAAACCUGAUGAUCAUUUCCCAACAAGUCAGACGGCAACACAACCACUCGUAUAAAACAUGCAACAGAUGCUCAUAGUGCUUGAAUGCACAGUUGCACACAGAGGAGCAUGGUGAAUCUACCAAACUAUAUCUGUGCUCAAACUCGCAGGCUAUGGGGAAACGAAGAAUUUGGGGACUAGGUAAUUCUCCAGUUUCAUUACUUGUCAGUUGAUCGUCGCAUGAAGAACAAACGUACAGUAUUGAACUAUUGAAUACAUACAGUGAUACUAUAAACAAGAUACGAGAUUGAUUAAACUAUGUAUCAAAUUCACCAAAAUUUGCUGCAUACAGGUUUUAAAACACUAUCUGGUACCUAUAGAAAGGUGACAGUAUUAUAAAAUUGUUGGCAACUUGGUAUGAGUUUAGAUUUUCAAUUUGUAACUUUUGCUUUUCAUCCUAUGAUCUCUUGGGGCUUUAUGGAGUUUCAUUUUCUGAUUGUAUGGUGUGUUCAACCACAUGAGAUAUCUGGAGUCUAUAAAAGACAACAACCUUUACCAAUUUGAAAAUUAACAACAAAAAAAGGUCAUCGAUCUCUAAUAUAUUCCAGAUCUUACCUACUAUCUUGGACAAUGCUUAUGUGAUUUGGAGAUUCUGUCAGACAAUAUAUAUAUAAACCUUAAACCUUUGGUUGUUUAUUCAUCUCUUUGAGACGGGUUUAUGUAAGUACAAGAAGUGGAUAAGUAUGGUAUGAAAUGUAAAUGUGUAAUCAUGACUAACAAAGAGGAGAGUAGUUUCCCUUUUUUUUUUUUUUUUUUUUUUUUUUAUAAUGAAAGGAGAUCAGACGAUUUUAUUCAAUAAGCACAAACCAAUAUUACACAGUGACCCGCCAUGCUGUCAGAAAAAGACACCGCUAAAACGUAUACAACUCACCUAUUAAGUGAAGCUCAGGGGGGAGUAAACUAAUAAAAUACUAACAAUAAAUUUUUUCACAACCUUAAAAUACUCGCUGACAACCUUCGAUCAAUAAUCCCGACAGUUCCUCGUAUGUAUUGAUUACAAGAAAAAAAUUGGUACCGAACUAAAAUAAGUCCUAGGUCCCAAAUUUAAACUCAACACUUUAUCGUGAAACCACUUGUAUCCUAAGUUUAAACAUAAAAUUUUAGAGGCCUAAGUGUUUGUGCUCUAGGUCUCACAUUAGGCCCAAGUUCAAAGAAAAAACUUGAGCCCAACUAAGAGGAGAGUAGUCUAACAUCAGCUAUACAUUGAAUAAUAAUGACGGAUAACGAAUAGUUAUGGAGGUCUAACGUUCCCUGAAAAUCUGACAAUCCAGAGAGACGAGAUUUGACCGGAGAAGGUGGAAGGGUUGCUCAGAGAGGGGCCUUUGGUGAAGAUAUCUGCAAUCUGAUCCCCAGAGAGAGAGAGAGGGUAGUACUGUCAUGCCACUAUCUAGCCCGAAGGAGGCGUUUGCUUCUACUUCAAGUAAGGCCAAGAUUAGAUUUAUCUCUGAUAGCUAUAGUUGGAUUCAAACGAGAAUUUGUCUUCUCUUAUUGUCAUUAUGGGUGACAUGGUCUCAUUUUGAUUCUAAACCUAAUUUAUAGGAACAGGUUAGUGGGUUUAACCACCAUUCAACAGACUGACAAACCUUAUUGUUCAGCCAUUAUUACUAUAGCCAGAUUACCAGAUUAUAUUAGUUGCUUCGAGGCUUGAAGGAAUUUAAGUGUUAUUGUUCAUAUUCUAUGAGAGAUGACUAGUCUUGAAGGGGGGAAGAAAAUAUUCCCCAGGCAAUGAAAGGCUCUUGAGCAUUUCUUUUAUUAGCUUGUAAAUAAUGCAGCAACUUAAUUAUUACAUUCUAACUCAACAAGAUUUUGAAGAAUUCGAAAUCGGAUGCUGCCAAUAAUGCAGAGAUGUACAAAAGAAUGAAGAACACCCCAAUACCUUUCAGAAUCAAUCUUCACAGUGGAUAUAUACCGACAUUGGCAGAACGAGUGUAGUAUUCCUUGACAAGCUGCCCGAAUAAUGAUCCUUCAUUGCUCAUCAGCUUUUUUGGCGAAUCAUACUCUACCAGUUUACCUGUCAAUGAAAUUUAGCAAGUUUUGAGAAAGAAAGAGAAAGUAUUACUUAAAAGUACAGGACAAUAUACAAAGUUUUGUUUAGUUAGAUCAUCCCGGAUGGGAAUGUAACACUUACCAUCAGCAAUAGCAAGCACCUUGGUGCAGUCCAUCACAGUUGGUAUUCUAUGUGCCACUGUUAUUACAGUGCAGUCAGCAAAUUCUGUUCUUAUAGUUUUCUGAAGAAUAGCGUCUGUUGCAUUGUCCAUUGAUGCAGUGGCUUCAUCAAGAACUAGUAUUCGGCUCCUCUUCAACAAAGCACGCCCCAAACAGAACAGUUGUCGCUGUCCCAUGCUCCAAUUUGUUCCAUCUUGUUCAACUGAACCCCAAACAGAACAAUUGUCAGAAUGUGGUUUACUUAUGGAACCCUCAAAAGCAGUAAUACACAAAUUUCAUACCUAAAGAAUCCAGGCCCUCUGCUUUUUCUUGAAUGGCCUCUCGUAACUGACAUUUCUCAAGCACCUUUAACACAGAAAGAAAAGAUGGUUUCAGUCAGCAAAAGAUAGUUACCGAAUAUACUAAAAGAUAGUUACCGAAUAUGAGUAUAUUCGGUUGGUUUGUUCAAUUCUGAUGAAACUUAGAAAAUAUACUUAAUUUUGACUCAUAUUCAGUUCAAAUGGUUGGUUUUAUAAGCCUGCUGAUAACAGACUUCAACAUUACAAUUUCAUCUUGGUAUAUAUGCGAAAACCAUACCUGCCAUAUCUCAUGAUCAGUAUGCUUCGAUAGGGGGUCUAGAUUGAACCUCACAGACCCACUGAAUAGAGUUGGAUCUUGAGGGAUGAUCCCAAAACAUGAUCUUAAAUCAUGAAGUCCGAUUGUGCAAAUAUCAUAUCCAUCUACAAUGACCUUUCCCUCUGUAGGCUCUACAAGUCUAAACAAAAUGCUGAUAAGAGUUGUCUUUCCACUUCCAGUCCGGCCAACAAUUCCAACUUUGUACCCUCCUUCGAUUGUGCAAGUUAUCCCACGAAGAACGAGAGGAGCAUUGGGCCUAUAUCUUACCUGCAUGAGUUUUCAAUCUCAUAAACUAGUCCAGUUGUUCUUACAGUUCUAAACUUCAGAAUAAUACUAACAAGUAACAAAUGCUAACCUUUAAAUCAAGUAUUUCCACUUUGCCAACAGUAGGCCAAUUUUCCAUUGGUCGGUUGUCUUCUAUUACUUCUGGGGCUUCACUCGGAAUAUGCAUGUAUUGUUCUACCCUUUCUACAGAAAUAAUUGAAUUUGCUAGCAUGCACUGAAAUUUGACAGAAAUUACGAGGAAUACAUUUAAGGAGAGACCAUAUGACAACGUCAUCCCAAUAAACCCUGUCAAAAUAUUAAGCAACAUGUUAAACACUGUAUCAUAUGUCUGGUUACAUGAAAUGUAUACAGGAGUUUAUGUUUACUUACCAGAGGAAGAAGAGGAAUACGGUGUUAAAGUAAUGGCAAGUGCUGCGGCUGAGAGAACAAUAGCACAUAGCAAUUCCAGGCGUUCAAUCAACCACUCAUUUGUGGAAAAACCAUUGAAGUCUGUGCUAGCAUUUACAUCAAUAAAGUCCAAGUACUUUGUGAAUAAUCUGUCCUCCUGUCUGAAAGCUCUGAUUGUCAGGGCUCCAGCAAUAGAUUCAGCCAGCUGGCUUGCAAGUGCAGACUUAGUUGUGCCAUUCAUUCGCAUCAACUCUUUUGCAGAAGCCAUGUAGUAGUUCUAUUUGGAGAAAAAAAAAUCAUCGUAUGAAAAACUUCAAUUAGAAUAUCUGAAAGGAUUCGGUUUAGUGUAAUACCUGAAAGAGCAUAGUGAUGUAGAUUGUGGGGACAACUAGAAACACCAUGGGCCAAGUAAGAUAAACCAGUACUAGAAAUAUGCUGUAUGUGUUCAAGGUUCCCCCAACAGCAAUUAUCAACUUGAAAGCUACUUCAAGGUCGAUGAUAUUCAUAUCCGAUGACACCUAAAUGAAAGAAGAAGUGCAAAUGUAAGUUCCAUAAGGUCACUAGAAAGCAUAUUUUAAAGUUCUGAAAUGAAAACCUCAAGUCUUACCCGACUAAGGAUUCUUCCCACAGGUGUUGAGUCAUAAAACAACAUUGGUGCUCGGAAAAGAGAGUUUAGUAGUGUCGAAAAAAUGGACUUUCCUGCUCCUACUCCUAAAUCUACUAUAAAGAAAGAUCGAAUGAGCAAAGAUGCUAUCAUGACAGCCAUGAUCACAGAAUAAACUGCAAAGAGUUUGACUCUGGAUACACUAUCAUCUUGAAGGUUCAAUGCCAACCAAUAAAACUGAAGUAACUGUCCAACUAUAAACAUCGAGUACAGAAAAAUUGACAAGGAGAAGUUGAAAAAUCCCCUCCCCUGCUUCAAAUACUGAAUGUAUGGCUUGAAACCAAUGUCUCCGGUUUCUCUCUCUUCUUUCUGAAUCAAUUGAUCCCCUGCAGACUCUUGUAGCUGUACCUCAGUAGUUACUUUAUCAAUUUCCUUUGUAGAUGAUUUAUGUUUCCCAGUAGAAGCAUUUUCAGUUGGCCUCUCGGAACCAGCAGUGUCAUUGUUUGCAUUUACAAGGUCUUGGAACUCUUGACAAGAAGCUAGCAACUCAUCAUAAGGCGCCGCUUUUAAAAUUCUCCCCGAAGACAUCAACUGUGAAGAAAAAAUAUACACACUAACAUACCGCAUAUAUGCCAAAGGGACUAAAGCAUCAAACUCAUAUAGCACAUAUUCAAAGUAACAGAAUAGACAAUAUACCAAGAUUGAAUGAAAAGCCGGAAGGAAGUCAACUUGGUGUGUCACAAGCAGAACCGUCUUCUCAGCCAGAGCUCCCAUGACAUAUUCCUGAAAAUUAUUGACAUUACCUUUAAUCAUUGGUGAAAAAGGGCAACAACAUUACAAGGUUGAUAAGAAAGUUAUGAUUACAUUGAACAGGCUGGUCGCGGUAUGGGCAUCAACUGCACUGAAAGGAUCAUCUAAGAGGUAGACAUCAGCAUUUUGAUAGAGUGCACGCGCAAGUUGAAUGCGCUGCUUCUGCCCACCACUUAGAUUGACACCUCUUUCUCCUAUCUGAGUGCGAUCCCCAAAUGGAAGCAUGUCAAGGUCCUUUACUAAGGAACACUUCUGAAGUGUUUCUCGAUAUCUUACAUGAUCCAUGGGAGUUCCAAACAGUAUAUUUUCUUGUAUAGUUCCUGUUUGGAUCCAUGCAGACUGAGAUACAUAUGCUAUUGUGCCAUAUACUUCAACCUGUAAUUUAAGUUCUAAUUAGGGCUAUCCCAUCUAUGAUAACUGAAUGAUAAUUUAGAGAUGAAUGAUUACUUACAACACCAUUGAUUCGUGGAACUUCACCAAGAAUUGCAGCUAAAAGGGUUGAUUUGCCUGAGCCAACCUCUCCACAAAUAGCAACUUUUUCUCCUGGUUUUACCACCAAAUUGAUGUCCCUCAAUGUGGCCUUUGUAGCACUAGUAUCCCAUGAAAUUUCAAAGGUUUUAAACAAAAUGGAAUGCUCGGCCUCUUUGUCAGUGAUCUGUUUCCUUGUAUCUCUAUGCUCCAACUCUGGUGCAUCAAGGAACUUCAUGAUCCGAGAGAAUGAAACCUUGGCUUCAAUAAAUGCUCCAAAAACAUCAGGGAUCAGCUUGAUUGGCUCCUGAACAAUACGCAAAGUUGCUAGAAAUGUAAAAGCACUACUAGCUGAGAGUGUAAAUCCAAGUAAGUAGCAUGUCCAAAAAGUGACAGCUGCUACCACAAUAGGAGAUGACCAGAAUAGAACAUUGUAAUAUCCCUUUUGUUCCAGUACUUUUGCAAUCCAUUUGAGUUCUUCAGUUCUCAACCCUUCGAUGACUUUCUUGAAACUCGUCUCCCAAGAAUACAGCUUCAAAAUCUUCAUAUUGGAAAGCGCUUCUGUAAUGGCCUUCAACCUCUUGUUCUGUGCUCCCAUGAGCUUAGUUUGAUACUCAUGCUGCAACUUUGCUAAUGGAGAGCUUCCCACCACGGUCAAUACGAUUACAGUUAUAGCUGCAAGAGUUGCUAUCCCCACAGAGUAGUAAAAGAUCAGUAAUGAAAGAAGCAACUGGAGACUAGUGGACCAUAUCUGAUGAAACCAGAAUGGAAAUUCACCGAUUUUGUAAGCAUCCACACUCACGUAAUUCACUAUCUCACCAGGAGAAUGAGUCAUCUUGGCAGCAUUUGAGAGUCUUAAUUGCUUCUGAUAAAUUGCUGCUGAUAUCAAUGAUCUUACCUGGAGACCAAUAAGUCUAGUUCUGAAGAACCAUUGUCUCUCGGACAAUGACUCCACAACUUUAACCACAAAGAGACCAGCAGUCAAAGCAUAACCUUCACCUUCAAAAGCCGCUUCUCCUUCAACGACCCUUAUGAAGGCCCUGAGAAACAGUGGACCGCUCGUCAGUGUGAGAACCUUGAUGAGUGCAAAGAUACCAGAAACCAAAAUAGCUUUCCUCUGGCAGAAAAAAAUUGUGGACAAAAUAGAAGGGUCAUCAUCAGAAGAACUGCUUUCCUUCCUUUUCUGCACUUGCUCCUUAAACAUCAAGUACAAUGUUCGAGCUUGAUCAGCUUCUCCCAGCUGUGGUAUAUCUUCAUUCUCAAGAAUCUUUCCCUUUCCUUUCUUUAGUAAUGGAUUCAACCACCAGAAUGACAUUCUACUAAGUAAACCAGCUUUAGCAUAAGGAGUAACAUUGUCAUUUGAAGUGAUUUCACCAGCAGUAUCCGAUUCUCUACCCAACAGAGGUGUGUUCAAAGCAUCUUCAGCCAUAAUGUGUCUCAGUUAUGUACAAAAUCUGCACAAUUACAAAAAACAAAUAACUUAGAAACAGAUAAAGGAACCAAACAUAUGAACUGAGACAGAUACUCAAACAUAAUUUGAUAGCUAAGUACCUUACUCUUCACAAAAUGAAAGGGGGAUAUGAAGUUUUCACCAAGUUGGAAAGGACAGAAGCAAUUACCAAACAUAUGUGUAAAAGCUACGACAGCGAAAACAUGUAAAUAUAAGAUUCAACUUGAAGAAACCCAGAAGAUCUCACUCUAGUCUCACUAUGAUCAUAGUGUGUACCUAACUUGCUUUUGAAGCCAUGCAUGAAAAAACUCCUACAAAAGUCAAUGACUCAAUUAUACACACUGAUUAGGCCAACUCACUUGUUAACACUAACCCAUAUUUUUCAUUAACUCUAAGAUCUCCAGAAAGCCCUGGUGUGAAUCACGCGUUCAUAUAAUACUUCUUUCCUGGAAGAACAAGCUGCAACAUGUAUAUAUAAUAAUUGCAACCACACUUGGAUGACUUGGAUCUCUUUGCUUGAACUGCUUGCUUGAUUUUUUUGGGGGUCUCUUGGGGGUCUCCUCAGCUUGUCAUGCAGAAAAGGAAUACACACUACGUUUUAUUGCCAUCAAAAAACCAGGAUAGCUUUGUCUUCCUCUGAGUCAUUUUCAGAACCAGUCUACCGUGUUCUCUAUUUGGAAAAUCAACUGAACCUACCUACCAAUCCGUAACUCACUUCUGUUUUCAUACGUAAUCUUUUAGUUAUGUAUCAAGUUUAGACCGUAUAUAGUCUUCUGAAGAGACGUAUAGAAGACUAUAUAAUACAACGGAGCAAAACCACAUGAUAGUACUACAUUGAAUUGACUAAUACAAUCGUGAUCUUUAUUAAGAUUGCAUAUGUAUUAAACAUCGUGCAUGAUAUGAGCAUACAACUGUGUAUAGAUUUCUGAAAGAUUAGGCAGCGUUUUCUUUCAACAACAAAAACAAACAGAAAUUUGGAGCUCCUGGUUGCCUUGCUGUCUAUUCUCAUUGAUGAAUUUUCAACCAUCGCAAUUGAUCUUUACCUCAAAAAACGAUUAUUUAUAAUUAGGUAUACAAGUCUCCAAUAGUGCAAGUCUGCAUUAUCAAUGAAGUAGCUCCUGUUCCAGAAGAUAUUGAUUUGGGUGUAGUGAAAGCAGGAGAGCAAGUAAGCUCUUUGGGAAACAAAAUGAAUCGAGAUCCUAAAAUUGUGAUAAAUAGAAAAGAUGUACACUCCUAUAGCACAUGUCGAAGAGCUCACUUGAAUUAAAAAAUCCAUUACCAUCAGAGAUCUAGUAGCUCAAUUUCAAUACCAUACAGAUUGAAUUAAAAGAUGAUUCAAUGUCACAUCAGAAAUGUCUAUUUGCCAGAAGAAAAACAACCACUAAACUCAUGUCUAUAAGUCUAUUUUGUUCUCUUCCCAACAAGAUAUCAGAUAGUCCUACUGAACACACCUAACAGUCAGAACAAAGAUUCUAGAUGCUAAUAGUUCUUUUGAGGCACCAAAGAGCAUGGUGAUCAGUGUCGAACUCUUGUUGUGGUACUGACGUAACCCUACAAAGCUACUGGAGGGAUGGUGACUGGUAAGAUCAAGAUAGUUCUCGAGUUUAAGGGACUUGCUCAGUUGAUUGUCAAACGAGCCACAAACAAGUAGUGAAUGCAUACAAUCAACAUGAUACUAGAUUGAUUAAACUAGAAAUCAAAUUCACUGAAAAUUGCUGCAUGCAGGUUAUAGAAAAAGUAAUCGGUACGUAACAGUGUGACAAGAAAAUGAAAAAGUAUGACACUUCAGAAUACUAUAGAACUUCGGAAAUUGUUGUGGAAGCAAAAUAGAAAAGGUUUGAGAAGCUUUACGUACUUUGCAUGGAGUUCACAGAGUACUAAUCAGAGUGCUUGUAGCUCCCAGAGUCCUCGACGUAUGAUUGUGAGGGUAUUUAACAAAGCAUGACAGAUUAUAUGAGAUGCAUUCAUGAAUUCCCAUUAAGCCAAAUCUUCCAUGCCAGCUAAUAUGCACUCUCCUGACCUUUUUAUAGCUCCUAAUAUAUACAUGACACCUACCCUUCUUCACUUCGUUGGAACCCAAGACCAUGACCAUACACUGUUCAUAUUCAACCUCAUACACACCCAGAAAGUGUAUAAUACUUGGAGAAACAAGACACAGAUCCCAUCACUUUGUCUUCUUUGUUUGUU